AUAUGCAAAAGGAAAAGCUAGUAUACCACUAGUAACAAAAAGAAUAAUUAAUAAAGAAAUAAAUGAUAUAAAAAGUAAAGGAGAUCCAAUAAAAUAUGUACACCUUGGAGGUACAGAGAUAUUAAUAAAAGCAUGUUUUAGAGAAGGAAUAGAUACACCAAUAGAAUUAUAUUUAGCAGACGAUAGAAUUAUAAAACCUAUAGAAAAAAGCAUAAUAACUGCCGUAAAAGGAAAUCUAAUAUACCAAAAAUUUAAAUUUAUAAUAAGUGCAAAUUAUUCAGUAGCAGUAACAGAUAGGAAUAUAGAUAAAUCAUUAGUAUUAUAUUGGAAAAUAUCAGGAAUAGAAUUAACCCCAGGAAGUAAAAUAUUUACAGCAAGAUGUAAAAAUCUAUAUGUAUUAACAACAAAACAUAAAAUAACAGGAAAAAAUAAGAUUAACAAAAUACAAAUAGAAAGCCCAUUCGAACAAAUAGUAAAAACAAUAGAUUAUAAUGAUUAUACCUAUAGAGACAUAGAUACAGAAGAAAAUUUAGAAAUAGUAAAUGAUAGAAUAAGUACAACGAAAAGAAUAGCUAAUGAAAAGCCAGAAUCAUCAAGCUCAUCAAAAAGAACAAGUUAUGAAACAAAUUCAAUAAGUAAUUUAAACCAAUAUUACAUAACGGGAAAAAUAAAUGAAAAAGAAUAUUUAAUACUUUUGAAUACAGGACAAGAAGAAAAUCAUAUAGCAAAAUAUCUAGUAAAAAAUGAAGAAAUAAAAACUGACAAUGAUAUAUGCCCAGAUCUACCAAGAAGUUUAAUAAAUAAUAAAAAUAUAGCAGAAAAAGAAAUAAUGUUAGGAGUUAGAAAAAUAAAAAUAGAAUUCGAAGUAAAGGAAGAAAUGCAAAAAGCAGAUAUAAUAUUAGGAAUAAAAUGGUUAGAACAAGUAAAACCAUAUAAUAUAGAACAUACACAAUUAACCUUAACAUAUAACCAAGAAAAGUUAUUCUUAAAAAGAGCCUUAACAUGAAAUGAAGAUACAUGUAUUAAUGAAGAUAGUAGUAGAAGGAUAUUACAGUAGAUAUUAUACGCCUAUGAUAGAUACAGGAGCAGAAGCUAAUUUAUGUAGAUAUAAUUGCUUACCAGAAAGCAAAUGGGAUAAACUAAAAACACCAAUAAUAGUUAAAGGAUUUAAUAAUGAAGGAAGCUUAAUUACUUAUAAAGCUAGGAAUGUAAAAAUACAAGUAUGGGAUAAGAUAUUAACAAUAGAAGAAAUUUAUAAUUAUGAAUUAACAUCAAAAGAUAUACUUUUAGGAAUGCCAUUUUUAGAUAAAUUAUACCCACAUAUAAUAACCAAAACAGACUGGUGGUUUACAACACCAUGCAAACAAAAAGUAAGAGCAAAAAGAGUUAAUAAUAAAAUAAGAAAGAAAACUGAUUGGAUAAAAGGAAGUGAAAAAAUUACACAAAAGUUAGAAAAUAUAAACAAUACUGAAGAUACAGUAGAACUAGUAGUAUUUUCGAUAAAUAAAACAGAAAUAACUAUAUUUUCAAUAAAUAAAAUAGAAAUAAUUCAGAAAAAAUUAGAACAAUUAUAUAGUGAAGAUCCAUUAAAAGGAUGGGAAAAACACAAAACUACUAUAAAAAUUGAAUUAAUAGAUAAGAAUAGCAUAAUAACACAAAAACCAUUAACAUAUAAUUUUGAUGAUUUAAAAGAAUUUAAAAUGCACAUAGAUGAAUUAUUAGAAAAACAAUAUAUACAAAAAAGUAAUAGUAAACAUAAUAGUCCAGCAUUUAUAGUAAAUAAACAUAGUGAACAAAAAAGAGGAAAAAGUAGGAUGGUUAUUGACUAUAGAAAUUUAAAUGCAAAAACUAUAACAUAUAAUUAUCCGAUACCAAAUAAGAUAUUAAAAAUAAGACAAAUCCAAGGAUAUAAUUAUUUUAGCAAAUUUGAUUGUAAAUCAGGAUUUUACCACCUAAAGCUAGAAGAAGAAUCUAAAGAAUUAACCGCAUUUACGGUACCACAAGGAUUUUAUGAAUGGAACGUGUUACCAUUUGGAUAUAAAAAUGCACCAGGUAGAUAUCAACAUUUUAUGGAUAAUUAUUUUAAACAAUUAUCUAAUUGUAUAGUAUACAUAGAUGAUAUAUUAUUAUACACCAAAACCAAAGAAGAACAUUUAAAAUUAUUAGAACAAUUCACAGAUAUAAUAGAAAAAUCAGGAAUAAGUCUAAGCAAAAAGAAAGCUGAAAUUAUGAAAAACCAGAUAGAAUUUUUAGGAAUACAAAUAGAUAAAAGUGGAGUAAAAAUGCAACAACAUAUAGUACAAAAAAUAAUAAAUUCGAAAGAAGAAUUAGAUACAAAAAAGAAAUUACAAUCAUUUUUAGGAUUAGUAAACCAAGUAAGAGAAUAUAUUCCAAAAUUAGCAGAAACCUUAAAACCACUGCAGAAAAAAUUAAAAAAGGAUAUAGAAUAUAAUUAUGAUGAAAAAGAUAAAAAACAAGUUCAAAAAAUAAAAUUACUUUGUAGAGAAUUACCAAAAUUGCAAUUUCCAGAUGAAAAUAGAAAAUUUAUAUAUAUAGUAGAAGCAGAUGCAAGUGAAUAUAGUUACGGAGGAGUACUUAAAUAUCGAUAUGAAGCAGAAAAAAUAGAACACCAUUGUAGAUACUACUCAGGUACGUUCAACGAGACAGAAAUAAAAUGGGAAAUAAAUAGGAAAGAAUUAUGUUCAUUAUAUAAAUGUUUAUUAGCAUUUGAGCCAUAUAUUGUAUAUAACAAAUUUAUUGUACGAACAGAUAAUACACAGGUACGCUGGUGGUUAACAAAGAAAAUACAAAAUUCAGUUACAACAAAAGAGAUUCGAAGACUAGUUUUAAAUAUAUUAAAUUUCACAUUUACAAUUGAAGUGAUCAGUACUAACAAAAAUGUUAUUGCAGAUUACAUAUCAAGACAAAGCUACACAGACUGAAAUAGUAGAGGAAGAUACUCUAGAAAAAAUACUUAACACCCUAACUACGCUUUCAAUGAAAGUGGACAGUAUGGGUAAUGAGAUAGAAAAGCUAAAGACUAAUGAAGAUAAACUGAAGUCUAUAGCUACAAAUCAGCUAACUCAGCAGUGUGCAGAGCUAUGUCGACCGGAAGACAUUAAAAAUCCAGAGCUAGAAGGAGACGUUGGGACACUCCAUAAAACCCAUAACAUUUAUCAAUCUACUUCUGCAGGUACAAGCAAAGGAGUUAAUAGACCAAGAUACCAGAAUGUAAAUAUGAACAAAAUAUUUGAAAAACCAUUUACCCCAAAAGCACAAAAAGACCAUUUAUUCAUACCCCCACAAGUUAACACAUACCGAGACAGCCUAAACCAAGACAAGAAAAUAUACAACUACACAGCCCAAAAAUACAUAGAAAAUAUAUAUAGAGUCCAAACCUUUCUAAACCAUAACCCCAGAGCUACAAAUAUCCAAGAACCAAAUACCAAUUAUAUAACCCAAAAACUACAAGGAUACAAUAAACUGAUAGCACUACCCAAAACUAACCCAAGCCUAGUUAAAACCUGUUUUGACUAUGGACUACUAAAUACCAUAUACACCCAAGACGGAGAAGAGCUAACAGCUAUGGAGGAAUUAUACAAGAUAUUCACUACCUACAAAAGAAUAAAAAAAGGAAAUUUAUUUUAUAUAAAGUGUUAUACUGCACCAGCAGAGAUAUUAUAUGAUGAAAUAAAACCAGUGAUACAGGUUGUAAAGAUAGGACUGACAAGAGAUAUGAUUAUACCAGAAGAUAUUUCGCAACAACCAGAGAUACCUAGAAUCGAGAUACCAGAUUUUUAUGCAAAUAAAAGACUUAUUGGACUAGCUACGAUCAUACAAGAACUAGCAAAUAACUACGCUAACGGAAAUCCAAUAUGGAGCUACUAUUCAAGAGAUCACCAAAUGAUAUAUUCAAAUUCGAAAGAACUAAGACAAGCAGAUAUGGAAGACGUAAGACAAUGGAUACUGACGCUACUUAACCCAGAAAAACAAUCUACCGCGCGAGCAAUAAGAAAAGGAUUUAUUUCAGACGGACUGCUAACCAGAUACUGUAAGAUAAUCGGACAUAAAUAUCCAGACCACCAAUGUUCGAGGUGCAAUGGAGAAGAUAAUAUUAUUCCAGAGGUACACCUAGAAUAAAGAAGAUAAAAUACCAGCUGGAAGGAUAAGAUAAAGAGCAAUAAUGGAGCAGAUACAGAAGCAAUAAUGGAGCAGAUACAGAACAAUAAUGGAGCAAAUACGACAAAAACCAACGGAGACAAGAUACUGUACAGAAGCAGAAUUAUUAUACNNNNNNNNNNNNNNNNNNNNNNNNNNNNNNNNNNNNNNNNNNNNNNNNNNNNNNNNNNNNNNNNNNNNNNNNNNNNNNNNNNNNNNNNNNNNNNNNNNNNNNNNNNNNNNNNNNNNNNNNNNNNNNNNNNNNNNNNNNNNNNNNNNNNNNNNNNNNNNNNNNNNNNNNNNNNNNNNNNNNNNNNNNNNNNNNNNNNNNNNNNNNNNNNNNNNNNNNNNNNNNNNNNNNNNNNNNNNNNNNNNNNNNNNNNNNNNNNNNNNNNNNNNNNNNNNNNNNNNNNNNNNNNNNNNNNNNNNNNNNNNNNNNNNNNNNNNNNNNNNNNNNNNNNNNNNNNNNNNNNNNNNNNNNNNNNNNNNNNNNNNNNNNNNNNNNNNNNNNNNNNNNNNNNNNNNNNNNNNNNNNNNNNNNNNNNNNNNNNNNNNNNNNNNNNNNNNNNNNNNNNNNNNNNNNNNNNNNNNNNNNNNNNNNNNNNNNNNNNNNNNNNNNNNNNNNNNNNNNNNNNNNNNNNNNNNNNNNNNNNNNNNNNNNNNNNNNNNNNNNNNNNNNNNNNNNNNNNNNNNNNNNNNNNNNNNNNNNNNNNNNNNNNNNNNNNNNNNNNNNNNNNNNNNNNNNNNNNNNNNNNNNNNNNNNNNNNNNNNNNNNNNNNNNNNNNNNNNNNNNNNNNNNNNNNNNNNNNNNNNNNNNNNNNNNNNNNNNNNNNNNNNNNNNNNNNNNNNNNNNNNNNNNNNNNNNNNNNNNNNNNNNNNNNNNNNNNNNNNNNNNNNNNNNNNNNNNNNNNNNNNNNNNNNNNNNNNNNNNNNNNNNNNNNNNNNNNNNNNNNNNNNNNNNNNNNNNNNNNNNNNNNNNNNNNNNNNNNNNNNNNNNNNNNNNNNNNNNNNNNNNNNNNNNNNNNNNNNNNNNNNNNNNNNNNNNNNNNNNNNNNNNNNNNNNNNNNNNNNNNNNNNNNNNNNNNNNNNNNNNNNNNNNNNNNNNNNNNNNNNNNNNNNNNNNNNNNNNNNNNNNNNNNNNNNNNNNNNNNNNNNNNNNNNNNNNNNNNNNNNNNNNNNNNNNNNNNNNNNNNNNNNNNNNNNNNNNNNNNNNNNNNNNNNNNNNNNNNNNNNNNNNNNNNNNNNNNNNNNNNNNNNNNNNNNNNNNNNNNNNNNNNNNNNNNNNNNNNNNNNNNNNNNNNNNNNNNNNNNNNNNNNNNNNNNNNNNNNNNNNNNNNNNNNNNNNNNNNNNNNNNNNNNNNNNNNNNNNNNNNNNNNNNNNNNNNNNNNNNNNNNNNNNNNNNNNNNNNNNNNNNNNNNNNNNNNNNNNNNNNNNNNNNNNNNNNNNNNNNNNNNNNNNNNNNNNNNNNNNNNNNNNNNNNNNNNNNNNNNNNNNNNNNNNNNNNNNNNNNNNNNNNNNNNNNNNNNNNNNNNNNNNNNNNNNNNNNNNNNNNNNNNNNNNNNNNNNNNNNNNNNNNNNNNNNNNNNNNNNNNNNNNNNNNNNNNNNNNNNNNNNNNNNNNNNNNNNNNNNNNNNNNNNNNNNNNNNNNNNNNNNNNNNNNNNNNNNNNNNNNNNNNNNNNNNNNNNNNNNNNNNNNNNNNNNNNNNNNNNNNNNNNNNNNNNNNNNNNNNNNNNNNNNNNNNNNNNNNNNNNNNNNNNNNNNNNNNNNNNNNNNNNNNNNNNNNNNNNNNNNNNNNNNNNNNNNNNNNNNNNNNNNNNNNNNNNNNNNNNNNNNNNNNNNNNNNNNNNNNNNNNNNNNNNNNNNNNNNNNNNNNNNNNNNNNNNNNNNNNNNNNNNNNNNNNNNNNNNNNNNNNNNNNNNNNNNNNNNNNNNNNNNNNNNNNNNNNNNNNNNNNNNNNNNNNNNNNNNNNNNNNNNNNNNNNNNNNNNNNNNNNNNNNNNNNNNNNNNNNNNNNNNNNNNNNNNNNNNNNNNNNNNNNNNNNNNNNNNNNNNNNNNNNNNNNNNNNNNNNNNNNNNNNNNNNNNNNNNNNNNNNNNNNNNNNNNNNNNNNNNNNNNNNNNNNNNNNNNNNNNNNNNNNNNNNNNNNNNNNNNNNNNNNNNNNNNNNNNNNNNNNNNNNNNNNNNNNNNNNNNNNNNNNNNNNNNNNNNNNNNNNNNNNNNNNNNNNNNNNNNNNNNNNNNNNNNNNNNNNNNNNNNNNNNNNNNNNNNNNNNNNNAGAUUAAGAGAUGUUAGAAUAUAUUAGAAAAACUAGAGAAAAUCAAGAUAAUCUAAAUAAUGAAAUAAAUUAUAGAAACCGAAGUAGAAAAAUAAUGGAAAAUUUAAAAGAAAAAUUAAUAUGGAUAGAAAAAACCUUAGAAAAUAUAGAUAAAAGUACAUGUGAUAGUUUAUAUAAUUUAAAAACUCACUACGAGAAGAACAAUACAAGAUAAUAAAUAACAUUGAAAAUCUAGAAUUAGAUAUACAUUACAGUACAAUUAGGAUAAAUUAUUAUACAAAAAUUUGUAACUCUGCAAUUACUACAGGAUAAAAUAAUAAACCAAACAAAUUAAUGAAUAUAUCUUACGCAAAAAGUAAAUCAUUAAAAGAAUAUCCACGCACAAAGAAAAAUAGAUUCACUAGAUACCUAAUAAAUCUAUUUCAUACUUUAGAUAUCCGCACCCUGAAUCUAUUUCAUACAUUAGAUAUCCGAAUGUAGUCUCACAAAGCCUCUAUCCGAAAUCAAAACAAGAUAUCGUCGAGACAUGCCCCCGAUCAUAGCCAAAAACCAAAGUCUAAGAAAUAACAAAAGUAUGUAGAGAAGUCCAUAUCAUAAAAUAGAGCCUUGCAAAGUACGGAAGCUAACCACUUCAAUAAGACAUAAAGUUGUCCUCGAAUCAAAUCACUAAGCAUGAGGAGUAGUAUGGCCGACUCCUGCAUCUCAUAGGGAUACAAUGCCCAAAGACAGGUUAGCGAGUGAAUGCUAGCAAGUACUCAGGAGCAAGGAUAAAAAAAUUCAACCAUUUCGAACUAACUAAAUAACUAUAUGCAAUCACAUCCAUACAUAUUUAUAUAUAAUCCAUGACGGGAAAGGUAACCGGGUAUAUUAUGCAUUUAAAAUCUUUAACUUGUGUUUGUGUAGCCUUACCAUCAUAAUCCACCCAUGGUCUACAUGGGUCUAGUGUGACCCCCUUAACGGAACCCAAUGCGUGUAGCCACAUAAACCGUAGAUAUCACAGGGGUUGGGGAUUUCCAUGUACCCUUUAUCUCCAUGAUACAUAUAUUCAAGUAUAACUUAGGCGAUUAUCAUGUACCCUACAAGAAUAUAGUCACCAAGACCAACCUCAUGUCGGCAAACAUGAUUUUCUAGUGUCCGUUCAUCGGACUCACACCUUCAUAGUAAGCAAUCACAACCCGCUAUUAUUGUCCUAUUAAAACCAUUAGCACAUAACCAACUAACUAAUUCCAGAAGUUAUUAACCAAGGCAUUAUGAAGUGAUAUCGUCAUAUCGACUAAAGCUUGCAAGCAAUAUCAUUAGACAACACUUAGGGGAUUCCCAUGAACCCCACUUGAUUUCCAAUUUACCAAAACCAUGACCACCAAGGCCUUGCAAAAUAAUUUAAAACUAUUUAAACCAAUUUAGGUUCCAUAACCAUAUUAUGCAAUGCAAUAGUUUCAUUAAAAGUCAAACUAUGUGACAAAAUCAUUCUCAUAGGCCUUUUAACAAACAUGUUGAGGGCAUAAUGUUCCCAAAACCAAAAAAGUACCAAUUGACUAUUCCCAUUCAACCACAUGUUCAUCCACAUUUUCAUACGAUAAUUAUAAUAUGAAAAACCAUAAGUAAUUCAUAGGAAAAAAAUAUCCAACCAUUUAUGACCAAAAACCCCAACAUUAAAUUCAAAACCAAACAAUAUCCAUAAUUAAAUCAUGAAAACCAUCGAUUAAAAGAUGAAUUUAGUUGAACUAACAAUAAGGGAUGAGUAACAUGCCUUAGAUAUCAAAUAGUAAGGAAAGAAAACCACACUGAGCCUUAAUUGACCACCUUAAAAGAAACCCUAGAUCCUUCUUAACCUAAGAGCUUGAGUGAGAUUUGAGUGUUUAAAGUAUUUUUGAUUGAGAAUAAUAGGGUAAAUAAAGUAUAAAAAGUGUUUUAAGUUGUGCGGUCAAAAGGGGUUAAUAGGGGAAAUAUCUUGAAUACCCCAACUUAAACUAUAAAAUCACAACAAGAGGGUACGACUCCCUCCUUGACUCGUACACACAAUAUACGAAUGGGACCUACCAAUCGUACCUUAGAAAAAAUGUUGAACAUCAUACACUAUCCACCAUACGAAUCCCUUUACCUUAGUCGUACCUUCAUUAUACGACAAGUACCUUAGAACCGUAGCCUAGGUAGCCUACCAAGGGCAUGACACACUGAUCAAUAUAUGAGUGGGUUUCCUCACUCGUACCAUCUCCAUACGACUCGUAUGGUGUCCAUUCAUAUCUUAGACAGUAACCAACCUAAACCAUACUAAUUGACAUAUGACCAAGACCCCUAAACCGUACCCACACCAUAUGACUAGUAAGCCUAAGUCGAAUGAUGUCCAGAGAGUUUGAAACUCUAGAAAUUUCUAAGGGUCAAAAUCUAAGGUAUUUUAAUUCUCCCCAAAUUGAAUCACUCAUCCUCGAAUGAUGGGACAAGGCAUGACUUGAACGAUUUACACCCCACCACCCAAACUUUAACACUUAAAUAAGUUAGAAAACAAAGAUGCAUAGAAGUCCAUAUUUACUUUAACAAAGUUUGAAAACAAACGUAUGAGAAAGAACACAUACCUUCCACACAAAUAUAUGAAGUAGAAAAUAAGAAUAGAUACUUAGAUUUCAUGUCCUCUUCCCGAUUCCCAAGUAGCCUCUUCAACCUUGUGGUUCCUCCAAUGAACCUUGACUAUAGCUACAUUUUUGGUCCACAACCGACGAACUUGCCGAUCCAAGAUCCCAAUAGGGACCUCUUUAUAAGACAAAGAAUCCGAACUACCAAUAUCCUUGAUAGAAACGAUUUGAGAUGGAUCACCCAUACACUUUCUCAAUAUAGAAACAUUAAAUACCGGGUGAAUGCAAGUCAAACUAGAACGCAACUCCAAAUCAUACGCAACAUUACCAACCCUUCUCAAAACUGCGUACUGACUAACAUACUGGGGACUAAGCUUCCUCUUUUUACAAAACCAUAUCUUUUUCUUCAUGGGAGAUACCUUCAAGAACACCCUAUCCCCAACCUUAAACUCUAACUCUUUUCAUCUCAUAUCUGCAUAAGACUUUUGAUGACUUUGGACAACCUUAAAUAUAUCCCAAAUCAUCUUCACCUUGUCUAUGUCUUGGUGAACUAAAUCUGGGUCAAACAUCUCUGCCUUACAAACCUCGAACCACCUAAUAGGAGACCUAAACCUCCUACAAUAGAAGGCAUAAAAUGGAUCCAUUCCAAUGCUAGAGUGGUAGCUAUUAUUAUAAGCAAACUCCAAAAGAGGUAAAUGCUCAACCCAACUACCACCAUGAUCAAUCGUACAAGCAUAAAGCAUGUCCUCUAACGUCUGAUACUAAGACUGACAAAGCCCAAGCAUACACAAAAGUGUACAUGGUCUUAUCAAGUAGUAAAGUGGCCUUAAAGAAGUCAAGUAUCGAUCCCACAGAGACUUGAUUUAACAAAAAUUUAAUUCUAAUUUAACUUUUAAGAUUAAUUUAGUGCCAGGGUAAACAAAAAGAGCUUAUAUAUUUAUGUAAAUUAAAAAUAAAGUAAACAAUAUGAAAAUUAAAAUCUCGAAACAAUCAAUGGAUUAAAAUCCAAGGUUAAAGAACUCCGAACAAUCAUACUAUGUUAUUGAAUUUUAUUUGUUAACUUGCUUAUCUUGGUUAUUGAUUCAUAGGGCUAAUUGCAUGAUCAUGGUUUCCCAACCUCUAAUCUUUCACCUAAUAUGGACAUUACAACUACAUCAUUGAGAGGGGAUGUAAUAAUUCAAUUAAGUUAAUUAAUGCUAUCAUCCUACAUUCGAAUCAAGUAAGGCAUCUAAGUACAUCUCUUUCCUAGAUGCUAAAUUUAAUUCUUUAUUUUAUAAAGCAAUAAUUACCCAAAAUUUAUUCAUUCUUAUGUUCUAUCUCUGUAUUCCCUCUCUCAAGAAAAAGAGAUUGACAAUAUAUGUAUUCUAAGGUUUGAGAAUCCUUAAAAUAACUAAAACAAGAAUAAACAAACAACCAAAUAUGAUAAGUAAAAUUAAUCGAAAUUAAUUCAAAAUAAUAGUAAUCAUAUUUUUGGAAUUAACCCUGGAAAGAGAGUUUUACGUCGAUAAUAUUCAUAAUGAAAAUCCAGAUAAUGGAAUACAUGAUAUAAAAAUUAAAAGCUAAGUAAAAAAAUUAAAAACAUAAUUAAAGAAGUAGCAGCUACUCCAAAUUAAUUUCCAGUUGUGUCCAGACACUCUCCCCUCCAAAAUUAAUAUUGUCCUAGUAUAAAUAAUCCAAUAAUUGACCAAAGUCGUCAACUACGUGUCCACAUUCUAACAAAAUUCUCCAAAAAUUUAUUUGAAUUCCCACAUGUCCGGUAAUAUAUAUACUGUCCAAAGUUGACUAGGUGUGUGUAUAUAUAUAUAUCUAUUAUAUUAAAAAUCCUAGUUUGUAUGGGAUUUGAAAUUGAAUCACAAUCCAAGAAAUACCCUCAAAGAUUCCUAUCAGGCCCUUGAACCACGUUCCCACUUUAAACAAAAAUUGGACAAAGUCUAUUCUGUGUCGGCACUGAAUUGUACUGCAUGCAUAAUUUCACAAUCGCGACAUGAUGCUCAAAGCGUUGGCAGUCGAUGUGAUACAACAGUAUCACAUUGACUCACUGGAAUUUGCAUUUAAAAAUCUUUCUAAGUGUUAGAUGUUCCUCCUUUUUUCCAUGCCUUUUGUAGUGUAUUUUCAAUGAAUUUUUGGCCUUUUUAUCAAUAAUAUAUCACCAUAAUAAGAUCACAAAGAUUCCUAAAAUAUCACACACCACAAAUUAAAGAUCAAAAUAGCACAAUAUUCUUAACGACAAAUCAAAACAAAACCUAAGAUAAGGCAAAUUCGUAAUGAUCUUUGAUUUAUUAUUUCGACUCUUGACUUAAUCAAUUUAAACUUUUUUAAUUACAAACAAGUUAUUCUAUGCAUAAUUACACAUUUAAAUUAUUUGGAAUAAAUUAAACACAUUAGAAUCCACCAAAACCAACUAGAGACACACCUAGCUCAAGCUAGUAAAACUAGUUUCCUAGUUGAACUCUAAAAUACUCAAUUAAGUACAAAAUUGUUUGAAAAAUAAUUUGGACAUUGUAAUCACAUACUUGGACACUUAAAUGCCUAUUUAUAUCAAUAUCAACAUGUUAAGCACGUGAAUUACUCUCAAAACAAGGAAAGAUAAUCUAGAAUAAUGAUACCAAAGUGUAUAAAACCACCUCAGAUCAUCACCUCAAACAUAAAUCCUUGUUCGUCCUUGAACAACUCUUUACUCUAAGCAUAAAAAUAUGAGGUGAAGCUACACUUCUACUAAAACAAAUACACUCAAGCUAGUACUACAAUAAAUACACAAAAUUCAAGUUUCUACACAAAGCAUGUUAUUUACACCAUUGAAAGUUUAAGAAUUCUAAUCCAAAACAUCCUAGCCUCAAGAAUUGACUCACCUAGUUGGAAAACUCAUGCAUAUUUCUCAAUCAAGGUCAUCAUACCAAUAACCUACAUUCAUCAAACAUGUGCCCCUCACAACAAAAGAGUUACCUAUAAUCACUCAGAUUAAUGCAAUUUAUAACAUAUGGGUGCAAGAAUCAAUUUACGCUCACUCUCACAAAGAAUUCACAAGUUACACACAAUGAACCAUAAUCUUGCCCUUAGCGUAAUCCUUCACUAAUAUUAGAAUGAUGAACUUAGGAUCAAGUAGGUCUUUUUCGGGUUGUAAUGUAGGCUAAGGGAUGGGUAAAAACUAUUUGGGGAAUAGUGACUAACCUCUCUAAGAACUUUAAUACAUUAAAUAUACAUUUAAAACCAAUCUCCAACAACCAAAUUACAGUUUUUCCAUCCACCCAUCACCUUUAUUUUUGCCCCAUCUCUUGUAAGCAUUUUUACAAAUGCAUGGUGGGCGUAUUGUUUAUUCCUUUAAGAUUCAAUUUUUCUCAUUUUAUACACUCAGGGGAAUAUUUCUAACACUAUUUAUAUCACUACCAACAACCACAAAUUAAAUAUAAAUACCAAUAACUAUUACCUUGGGGCAUUAAUUUCACCUCAUUCUUCUUAAAUUUCUCAAACUUCUUAAUUAUUUUUUUCAUUAAAGUGUCUAGGAGCUUUUUGGAUCAAAUUAAAGUCUAUCAAAGAAGGAAUUAGGCUACAUAUUCGGCUACCAAAAAAAUAAGCUAAAGGCUCAAUGGUGUUAACUAGGAUAAUGUACAAAGGAUAGGACAAAAAAAGGUAUACAACAACGCUAUCAAAGAAGUUCCUAUAUCAUCUCAUAAACCCAUAUUCUUUAUUUUGCUUCACACACAUUGGGAAAGUUCUAGCCAUACACAUGUAACAAGGAAUAUAAAAAAAUCUUACACGCACAUGGCACAUACUAAACUUAAUAGGAUCAUCAUAGACUCUCGACCAAACAUUAGAAUGAAUUCAGAUUUAAGCCAACAAAUACUAGAGUCAUAAACAUGAGCGUAAGAGUCUCAAGAAUAGUAAUUCACUUAAUCAACAUGUUUUUACCAACAAACUCACUUGCAUCAUGCAAUCACAAAUAGCAUUAACAAGAAUAUAUUACUAAAAAAAAAUUAAAUUAAGCCAAAAUUUGGAAAUUUCUCAACCCUACACUAAAAAAUUUACUUUGUCGCCAAAGUGAACUUAAAAGUAAGCGAUAGAAAUACUCCCUAAGGCCUGUAGGCCUAACUAGUAGCAUUUUUUUUGUAUAAAGGAGGUCUGUGGAAUGCCACACUCAGUCUUGACCAUGCUUUAAGAUCAAGUUUAUGGUACUCAGACUUCCCAUUAACCCGUGACUUAACAGAAACUAUGGGAAAUAAAAACUAAAAAAAUUGAAAAAAAAAUACAUAAUUUACUUGGUUGCCUCCCAAGCAGUGCCUGAUUUAGUGUCGAGGCACAACCCGUAUCAACUCAACCAUAUUUCUUUACCCUUUUACUCCCAUUUGGAAGCCAUUUUUUCAUUCGUUUCUUACCUCUUGAGUUUAUAAUUUGAAGGUCAACAUCUCUCUUCACUUGAACCUUCAUCAUAUUGGAAAAUAGUGGAUUCAACUUAGGCCGCUAAAUUAGGUAAUCCAAAGAGGUUUUUGGUGGAUUAAUCACCCCACACUUUUCUCUUUCAAUAACAUUGAUCACACUUAAAUCUUUAAUUUGGUGUUUUACAAUGGUUUUUUUUGUAAACAUCAAAUACCAUAUCUUCAUCAUCUACCCUCUUUUUGAGUAUGCCUUCUCUAACAUCAAUCAAGGCCCCUCCAAUUACUAAGAAUGGAUGCCCCAAGAUGAUUGGUACCUACUCAUCUGCCUUAAAAUCGAGAAUAAAAAAGUUAGUGGGUAUAAUGAACUUUCCAUGCUUUAUGAGGACUUCCUCUGUUACACCUUCCAAAUAUGUAAUGGAUCUAUCUGCGAGCUGCAUAACUACGAGUGUUGAUUUAGGCUCUCCCAAGCCCAAUGUUUUAAACAAUGAUAGGGGCAUCAAAUUUAUUCUCUCCCCUAAGUCACUUAUUGCAUGGACCUCUUUACUCCCAAUUUGAAUAGGGAUAGUAAACUUUCCCUGAUCUUUCAUUUUCUUAGGGAUUUUUUGUGUCAUUACUACACUACACUCUUCAGUAAGUGUUAUUGCUCCCAUAUCUUGCAAUUUCACCUUCUUCGCUACCACAUCCCUCAAGUACUUUUUGCAUACUUAGGCAUAAUCUUCAAAAUAUCUAGCAAAAGUAAGUUAAUAUAAAGCUCUUUGAAUGUAUCAAUGAACCUUUUGAAUAAGGCAUCCUCCUUUGAUUUUAUUUGACUUUGAGGGAAGAGUAGUGGCAGUGUCUUCUUCACUUCUGAUUCAGCAACUUUUUCUUUCAAGUACUCAGACUUUCUUGAAUUUUCAACAACUCUAUCAUUUACCUGUUGGGUCACCAUAUCAGCAUCUACCUCAUUUGUUGCCUUGGGUGGGUUCUUCUUGAAGCUCUUUACCACUUCUUAAGUUGAUUACCAUAACCUUCUUUGGAUUUUCUGUAUCUGCUGGAAACCCACUAAUGGUCUUAUAUUUAGUACCUGUGAUAAUUAGCCUAUAUGCAACUCUAAACUUAUUGUUCCCUCUUACUAAUUCUGCAACUCUUCCUUUUGAAUUUUCAUAUUCGCAACCAAUUAUGCUUGACCAGAUAAAAGUUGUUUCAACAUCUCUUCCAUGUUGCUUGUUGACUGAUUUGAUUGGGUCUGCUGCUGUGGGGCAUUCCAUGGCUGAUUUGGUGGCUGAUUUGCCACUUCAUAUUAUAGGCAUUACCGUAAUUCGACAUUUAACCAGUACCUACAUACAUCACAGACUCUAGAUUUGAAGCACACAUGGCCGCUGCAUGACCACUAUUUUGCCGUACCUCACACCAACCUGUAGCUUAUUGGAUAAUAUUGACUGUGGCUGUAGGUUUUCCUGUUCCUAAAAUCCUGCUUCUGAAAUGAGUGUUGAUCAGAUUUUGUAAGGCAGAAACCUGUGCUGAUAAGGCUAUGAAUUGGUCCACCAAUAGUACACCCUUAAUUCUUUUCGUGUCACUUCUUGAAUCUGAAUGCCAUUCGAGAUUUCCUUGUGCUAUGCGAUUCAAAAAUAUGUACAACUCAUUAUAAGUAACCCCCAGUGCUUGACCACCUGCGUUUGAAUCUAGCAAAAUCUUUGUCUUGUAAUCAAGACUUCUACAAAAGUACGAGCAAGUACCUCAUUAAACUGUUGGUAGUGUGGACACUCUCAAAGAAAAGACACGAAGCAUUCCCAAGCAUGAUAAAGGUUUUCAUUAGGAUUUUGUUUGGAGCUCACUAUCUCAGUGUGAAGUCUCAUAGUCUUUCCUGAUGGAAAGAAUCUGAUGAGGAAAUUUCUGUCUAAGUCAUCUCAUGAUGUAUUUGAAUUGGUCAGCUCUAUAUUCAACCACCUUUUAGCUUCCACCAAAGGUUAAUGGGGAAACAGUGUCAGCCUCAAAUAAUCUGGAGUCACCCUAGUCGGAGUAAAUGUAUCAGUAAGCUCAAUGAAGGUCUGCAAGAGGAUAUUGUGUUUUAACUCAAAAUUUCCCCCAGCUACCGGUCUUUGAAUUGGGGAAGUCAAGUUCGUCAGAAGUGGGACUGCCACUUCCCUAACUACGUUGUGUGCUUGUUGUUCAACAAUAGUAGCAUGAUUCUCUUGGAUUUUUAUAUCAUAGAAUAUGAGAAUAAACAAAGUUUGGAUUCUCAUUUUAUCAACAAAGUCAAAUCCAAACUUUCAAGGGUCGCGAAUCCUUAAAAUAAUUAAAACAAGAAUAAACAAACAACCAAAUAUGAUAAGUAAAAUUAAUCAAAAUUAAUUCAAAAUAAUAGUAAUCAGGUUCUUGGCUUUAAUCCCAGAAAGAGGGUUUUAGCCGAUGAUAUUCAUAAUUACGAUCCAAAUAAUUAAAUACAUGAUAUAAAAAUUAAAAGCUAAAUAAAAAAUUAAUAAACCUAAUAAAAGAAGUGGCAGCCACUCCAAAUUAAUGCCUAGUCGUGUCCAGGUGUUCUCCUCUCCAAAAGUUAUAUUAUCCAAGUAUAAAUAAUCCAAGAAUCGACCAAAGUCGUCCAAUACGUGUCCAAGUUGUAACAUAAUUCUCCAAAAUUUUAUUUGAAUUUCCACGUGUCCAGUAAUAUGUAUGUUGUUCAAAGUUGAAUAGGUGUGUUUAUAUAUAUAUUAUAUUACAAAUCCUAGUUUUUAUGGAUUUGAAAUCGGAACGCCAUCCAAGAAAUACCCUCAAAGAUUCCCAUCAAGCCUUUAAACUGCGUUCCUACUUUGAAUAAAAAUUGGACAAAGUCCAUUUCGUGCCGGCGCUGAAUUGUACUGUGUGCUUAAUUUCACCAUCGCGAUGGAAUGAUUAAUGCAUUGGCAGUCAAUGCGAUGCAACUUUAUCGCGUCUACUCACUGAAAUUUGCGUUCAAAAAUCUAGUUAAGUGUUAGACGUUCCUCCUUUUUUCCAUUCAUUUUGUAGUACAUUUCCAAUGAAUUUCCGGCGUUUUAUCAAAAAUAUAUCACCGUAAUCAGCUCACAAAGCCUCCUAAAAUAUCACACACCACAAAUUAAAGAUCAAAACAACACAAUAUUCUUAACAACAAAUCCAAACAAAAGCUAAGAUAAGGCAAAUUCGCAAUGAUCUUCCACUUAUUAUUUCAAUUCUUGACUUAAUCAAUUUAAACUUUGCACAAUACAAAAAAGUUAUUUCCCUCAUAAUUACACAUUUAAAUCAUUUGAAAUAAAUUAAACACAUUAGAAUCCACUGAGACCAACAAGACACACCUAGCUCAAGCUAGUAAAACUAGUUUUCCAAGUUGAACUCUAAAUUACUCAGUUAAGUGCAAACUUGUUUGAAAAAUAAAUUGGACAUUGUAAUCACAUACUUGAACACUUAAAUGCUUAUUUAUAUCAAUAUCAGCACGUUAACCACAUGAAUUACUCUCGAAACAAGGCGAAAUAAGCUAGAAUAAUGUUACCAAAGUGUAUUAAACCACCUCAUAUCAAAGACUCACCUUGGUCCCCAAACCUUUCUAAAAUGACUUCCAAAAGUGAGGUGAAAACUAUGUACUGCAAUCGAAGAUGAUAGAAAUAGGUACCCUAUGCAACUUCACAGUUUCAUAGAGAUACAACCUUGCGUAGUGCUCAACCGAGACAUUACUACUCACAGGAAAAUUUUUUGUAGACUUUGUCAUCUUAAUCACGAGGACCCAAACUGAAUCAAACUGAUUUUGAGAUCAAGGAAUACCAGUAGCGAAAUCUACAUUGAUCACUUCCUAUUUCUACACAGGCAAAUCAAUGUCUUGAUACAAUCCUUUGGGCCCUUUCACUUGUUGACAUACCAUAUACUUUUCCACAAAAUUCACCGCAUCCCUCUUUAUGUUGUUUCACUUAUACAUCUCCUUGAGGUCAUGAUACAUUUUCAUUGAGCCAGGAUAAGAGGCAUAGCGUGACUCAUGAGCCUCAACCAAGAUCAUUGUUUGAAAACCAUCGACAUCGGGAACACAUAAUCUUCCUUGGUACCUCAAGGUACCAUCACCACUAAUCUCAGAGGCCAUCACUUUCUGCUCACCAAUAUCAUUCUUGAUCAUCAUCACGGCAUGAUCUAACCUUUUCUUCUCCUUAAUCUCAGUACCAAGAGAUGACUGUGCCAUUUUUUGAAAGAACACACCACUAUCCUCAGAGUCCAAUAGAAAAACUCUAAGGUUAGCCAAACGGUGAGUAUCUUUCACCAACUCCAGCUUCUCCUUAUCCACGGGAGCUAGAAUCCCCAUGGACAACUUGAUAAUUGCAUCAACAACUACAUUAGCUUUACCUAGAUGGUAGUGAAGACUCAUAUCAUAAUUCUUGAGAAGCGCAAGCCAUCUUCUUUUCCAGAGGUUAAGCUCUUUCUUAGUAAACACAUGAUGUUGGCUUUUACAAUUAGAAAAGAUGUCCACAUACACUCCAUACAAAUAAUGAUGCAAAAUAUUCAAUGAAAAUACUAUAUAUAAAAAUUCAAAAUCAACAGUUUGAUAAUUCCUUUUAUGCACCUUCAACUGCCUGGAAGUAUAAGCUACCACCUUGCCAUGCUGCAUCAGAACACAAUAGAGCCCAAUACAAGAAGCAUCACUAUGGACCACAAACUCAUCCAUGCCUUCAGGAAAAGUUAAAACCGAAGCUAAAGUUUGCUUAUCCUUCGGAUUUUCAAAACUAACCUCACAAGCAUCAAACCACAAGAACUUUACCUUCUUCUGAGUCAACUUAGUCAAUGGGGCAGCUAUAAAAUACAUUCUCUCCACAAAUCUCCUAUAAUAACCCUCUAAACUCAAGAAGCUUGGAAUAUCGGUUGGAGUCAUAGGUCUGUGAUUUCUUUUAGCCAUGGCAACCUUUUGUGGAUCCACCAAGAAAUGAUAUAACUAUGAAAAGUGACAACUUCAAAUAGAAUUCACAUUUUGAAAUCUUGGCAUACAACUGUUGAUCCUUCAACGUCUGCAACGCCACAUGGAGGUGAUCGCUUGAACCAUCUCACUCUUAGAGUAUAUCAUGUAUGAACACAAUGAUAAAUAAAUUCAGAAACUGAUGGAAGACCCUAUUCAUCAAAUCCAUAAAUGUCACGGGGGCAUUGGUCAACUCAAAAGACAAAAUGAGAAACUCAUAAUGCCCACACCGAGUAUGGAAGGCAAUCUUAGGGAUAUCCUCUUCGCUAAUCUUUAACUGAUGAUACUCGAAUUUGAGAUCAAUUUCAAAGAUAAACGUAGCACCCUGCAACUGAUCAAAAAAAUCAUUUAUCCUUCAAAGAGGAUACUUAUUCUUUACCAUCACUGUAUUCAACUAUCAGUAAUCAAUACACAUUCAAAGGGAGCCAUACUUUUUACGCAUGAAUAACACCGGUGCACCCCAUGGGGUAUACUAGGACAGAUGAAACCCUUAUCUAGAAUAUCCUUUAAUUACUUUUAAGCUCCUUCAACUCAACCGGAGCCAUUCAAUACGGAGGAAUAGAAAUUGGAUGAGUGUUCAGAACAAGAUCAAUCCCAAACUUAAUGUCCCUAUCAUGAGGAACACCAGGAAGGUAAUCAAGAAAGACCUUGGGAAAUCAUUCACCACCAGGACAGAUUGCAAAGAAGAACCCCCCAAGUUAGAAUCUUUAACCCAAACUUGAUGAUAGAGACACCCCUUGGAGAUUAAUCUCUAAGCUCUAAGAUAUGAUAUAACCUCCCCUUAGGAGUUAAGGAACCACCCCCCCACUCAAUAACAAGCUUAUUAGGGAAAUUAAAGACAACCUUAUAGGUCCAACAAUCUAGUGAUGCAUAACACAAGUGCAACCAAUCUGUCUUCAAUAUAACAUCAAAAUCCACCAAAGUUUCUCUACUACCAAUACAUAGCACUUACCCCUUAUACACUCAUCUAGAAAUCACAAAGUCACCUACCGGGGUAGAAAUACAAAAAGGGUCUGAAAUAUACUCGGGACAAAAAACAAAAUGCAUAGCCACAAAUAAGGUCAAAUAAGAUAAAGUACACCCCACAUCAACUAAAUAGUACACAUCAUAAGAGAAGAUUUUCAAUAUACUAGUCAUGACAUCAGGCGAUGCCUCAGACUUGUGUCGGGUAGUGAGAGUAAAAAAAUAGUUUUAACCAGUGCUAAAAAUUGAUGGUGCACCUUUGGUUUUAGAGCUGAAGAAGAUACAAUACGAACCUUAUUUGUCACAUAAGCAACCUUACCAACAGGAUAAUUUCUAAACAUAUGGCCUAGCUGACCAUAAUAAAUCACCUAUCCAUUCCCCCAUCACAAAAAUCCCAAUAGAAAUGACCACAUAAACUGUAAAGAGGAUAUGAUAAAGCUAAAUGAGCCCUACUAGCCUAAGAUUGGGCACCCUAUGUCCUAAAGUUGUUGCCACCAUAGAAAUGCCUAUCACCCAACCACUUUGAGUAGGGAGCACCAGCCGUCAAAUCAAACCCCAAAGUUCCCAACAUCUUCUUGGGCCACAUAUCACCUUCCCUAUCACUCUGAUGUUGGCCACCACCCUGCUCAAACAAUCAAAAUUCUUUCCCUUUCUCUUUUCUUACUCAGACUACUUUGAUUUCUCUUUCUCUACCUACUACAUAUAUACUACCAGCCUAGAGAUAUCCAUGUUCUUGAUUAACAAGGCAGCCUUACUUUCAAGGAUCAACUCGAAAGAUAAUCUCGAUGUGAACUUUCUCAUUUGUCACUCAUACUAGAAACCAACUUUGGAGCAUACCAUGAUAACUAGUGAAACGUCAAGGUAUACUCCUUGAUCGAUAUCUUACCCUACUUCAAAUUGACGAACUUUUCUAGUUUUGCUUCCCUUGACUACUGAGAAAAGAAUUGGUCUAGAAAAGCAUCGGAAAAAUCUGCCCAUAGUGAUGACUCGACACCAUCACCCCAUGAUUUCUCCCAUUCCUCGUACCAUUGGUAAGCCACGUUUUUCAGUUGAUAGGCUACAAACUUCAUGACUUCCACAUUAUUGGCAUACAUAACAUGGAAAAUAUUUUUUAUCUCAUCCAAAAAUACCCUGAGGAUCCUUCUCCACCUUAACACUAGUAAAGGUCAGAGGGUUCAACCUAAAGAACUGGCUAACUCUUGUGGCCUCAGAAGAUGGAGUAAUAGGAACACCACGCUCAGCCUGAGUAGCUACUAACUAUUCCAAUAUAUGGAUAGACUGAUAAAACAAAGCAUUCAUCACAUUAGCCUAAUGAUCUAGAGGAGGAAUGGAGGGAAUCGAUGGAACUUUCAAAACAAUUUGGAACUGGACCCCUAGAUUGAGUAUAGAUGCCAUGAGUAGGGCAAGCCUCAUCCACAUUAUCCCCAAUUAGGACAGAGAAGUUUUUGUGAACUUCAGAUCAUCGAGAAAUGAUUUGAAAAGUGAACAGACGAGAAUUAGAGAAGAAUUAAGGACUUAGACUCCAUAUUAAAAACAAAACACAAGAAAGAGAAAUAUUCCUAAAUUCCUUUUAGCCUACCUUUUUGAGUGUAGCAAGCUACAUACCCUAAAAAGAGACUCUACUCUACACGGCUUUGGGGUCUCUCAAGUGACCAUGAACUAUGUUCUCUGAUACAAUCUGACAUGAUCGAAACCAGGUCCUAGUCGUGUUGAGUGUCUUAUGCCUAACCAGACUAGAGACUACCAUCAAUAACUAACCAUGACCACCCUACACCCAAUGUAGAAUAAAUUUUAAUUAUAUAACAUAACAAGAUGGAAAAAUCAUACAUUAACUAUCAUCAAGUGGUAUCAGCCUCAAUUCCAAAACUAAUGUCAAGGCUGGCACAAAUACUGACACCACCCAUGCCAACCCAAAGAAGUCUCACAGAGCCUCUAUCUGAAAUUAAAAAAUAUCUGGUCAGGAUAUGCCCUCGAUCAUAGCAAAAAACCAAAGUAUAAGAAAUAACAAAAGCAUGUAGAAAAGUCUAUAAUAUGAAAUGUAACCUUUUAUAGUAUGGAAGCUUACCACUUUAAUCUACCACAAAGUUGUCUCCAAAUCCAAACACUGAGUAGAAGAAGUAGUAUGGCCGGUUCCUACAUCGCGCGGGGAUACAACUCCCAAAGAUGGAUUAGUGGGUGAAUGAUAGCAUGCACUCAGGAGUAAGGAAAAAAUAAUGCCAAUAUUUAAAACCAAGUAAAUAACCAUAUGCAAUCACAUCCAUACAUACAUAUAUAUAUAUGCAUAUAUAUAAUCCAUAUUGGGAAAGUGAUCCAGGUUUAGAAUGCAUUUAAAAGCUUUAACUUGGGUUUAUGUAGCCUUACUAUCAUAAUCCACCCACAGGAUAUAUGGGUCCAGUGUUACCCUCCAAAAUGGGCCCCAAUGCAUGUAGCCACACGAACCAAAGAUAUCAUAAGGUCCAAUGAUUCCCAUGUACCCGUCGCCCUCCAUGAUACAUACAAGUAUAACUUAGGGGAUUUCUGUGUACCCUACAAAAAUAUGGUCACCAUGACCAACCCUUAUGUCGGCAAAGAUGAGUUUCUAGUGUCCGUCCAUUAGAUUCACACCUUUAUGGUAAGCUAUCACAACCCAUUAUUAUUGCCCGAUUAAAAUGAUUAGCACAUAACCAACUAAUGAAUUCUAGAUGUUAUUAACCAAGUCUUUAUGAAGUGGUAUCGUCAUACCGAUUAUAGAUUGGAAGCAAUGUUAUUAGCCAAUACUUAGGGGAUUCCCAUGUACCCCAUAUGAUUUCCAAUUUAGAAAAACUAUGACCACCAAGGCCUUACCAAAUAAUUUAAAGCAAUAUUAACUAGUUGAGGUUCCAUAACCAUACUAUGCAAUGCCAUAGUUUCAAUAAAAGUCAAACUAUGUGACAAAACUAUUCUCAUUGGUAUUUUAAAAAACAUAUUGAUGGCAUAUAUUUCCCAAAACAAAAAAGAAGUACUAAUUGACCAUUCCCAUGCAACCACAUGUUCAAAACACAAUUAUAAUAUGAAAAAUCAUAAGUAAAGCAUGGGAAAACAAUAUCCAACCAUUUACAACCAAUAGCCCCAACAUAUAAUACAAAACCAAACAAUACCCAUAGCUAAAUCAUGUAAACCAUCCAUUAAAAUAUGAAUUUAGUUGAACAAACAAUGAGGGAGGAGUAAUGUUCCUUAGAUACCAAUGAGUAUUAAGAGAAACUACCCUUGAGAGCCUUAACUGACCACAUUGAAGAAAACCCUAGCCUCUUCUUAACCCAAGAGCUUGAGAGAGAUUUAAUAGUAUUUAAGGUUUUUUUGAUUAAGAAAAUAGGGAAAAUAAAUUUCCAAAAGUGUUUUAAGUCAUGGGGUCAAAGGGGGUUAAGAGGUGAAAUGUCCAGAAUACCCCCAACUUAAACUAUAAAAAUCACCGUAGGAGGGUAUGACUCCCCUCUUAACUCGUAAAAACAACAUACAAAUGGCACCCACCAUUUAUACCCUAGAAAUAAUAUUAGAUAUCACAUACUAUCCAUCAUACAACUCCUUUUACCUUAUUCAUACCUUCAACGUACGGCAAGUACCUUAGAACCAUACCCUAGGUUGCCUAUGAAGGGAAUGACAUACUGAUUAAUAUAGGAGUAGCUUUUCUCACUCAUACCAUCUCUAUUUGACUUUUAUGGUGUCCAUUCAUAUCUUCGACAAUAACUAACCAAACCAAUACUAAGUAACACAUGAACAAGACCACUAAACUAUACCCACAAUAUACGGCUAGAAAACCUAAGUUGUAUUAUAUCUAGAGAAUUCAAAACUCAAGAAAUUACUAAGGGUAAAAUCUAAGGUAUUUCAAAUACCUCCUUUUAGAUCAUGAUAUGGUCGUUGUCAAGAUAUAGUAACCCAACUAAGGUUGGGGUUAAAUUCUAAGGGAACAUAUGGCUUUACAGAUUUCAACUGUUGGUAGUCAAUGGGCAGAAUAAGAAAAGUAAAUAGAGGGUUUGUUUGUAGUAAUCUCGAUAAAAGAACGGUAAUAACUUGGUUGAAAUAAGUCAUAAGUGAACACUAGGAUUGUAUUCCCCCUGAACUCUUAACUCCAUAGGCUUAUUAUGUGUUGUUGAACCAAUCCAAUACCUUGCAUGCAGAAUUGAUAAGUUAUGUACCUCAUGCAGUCUUUUGGAUGAGUAGGAGGAUCUCACCCUUUACCUUAUCAGUCUCAGGGUUUUACAAUACUAAACCUUAUCUUAAUCCCAGUUAACUAUUACAUUUUAAGUCUCUAAUUAUUAGAUAAAACCUAACCAUCAUAUAUAGAUAGACCUAAAAGUGUAGAUAGACAGUUAAACUCCAAAUUACUAUUGUUUUUAUCUUUUCCUAUUCACUACUUCUCUUUUAGAGUAAAUACCAAUAUAUAGGUGGGAUCCUAAUGUGUGCACUGAUGAUUCUCAACUUACAUGUCAGUUUGAGUGUAAAAAGGUCAUUGUUAAUAUAUUUACCCAACUUUGUAGUCGGGGUUAAAUCCACGAGGAACAAUGUGAGUGGCGAUCAAAUUAAUUUUAAAUGAUAGCUAGAAGCAAAAUUCAAAAAAUGGUACUAAAAGAUAAAAUAGGGGAGGUGAGAUCCUACACUAAUGUUUCAUAUUGGGAUUUUCUAGUACAAAUUUGGGGCCACAAAUAAUUAGAGUUUUAACAAAUAUUCACUGAUUAUUUGAUUAUGCAUUUCAAAGGGAGUGACAUGUUGGUACUAGUCAUCAACAUUGAUUUAGCAAUUCAAAUAUGGGUAGGUUUGGUUACAGAUUUUGAUGCUAGUAUUUCAGUAAAACACCAAACUUUCACCCAUUGAUACUUUCGAAUACCUAAUGGUUGUGUUCAACAAUUAGCAACCACAACCUCAAUAAAGACAUCCUAUUUCUUGGAUGACACCCAAGGCUUAGUCAAUCUCACUUUCACCCUUAUUUCUAAGAUAGUGAGAAUUUAACAAACUAGACACAUAAUUUUCUAUCAUUGCUUUAAUCUCCACAUCCCCUUUUUUAGGAUGAUAUAGAUUCCUAAUCUUCACCUAAAAACCUUUUUUCGAAGAUAGAAUUGGCCUUUCUAGAGCUUGGGCUUUCAACCAUCAAACCCAUAUGGGUAUUUGGAGCUUUCACCACUAAAAUCCCAACUAAACUAGCAUAAUAAUAAUGGAACCCAUAAACAUGAACUACAAAAUUGAUGCUAAUAAUAGCAACCCACACACACUUUAAUCCCUAUUCAUACAUAACCCCAAGAUAGAGAUUUAGCUACACACAAGAUAAAUAAGCAUAAAUAUACCUAUAAUCUCCAUUGAAUUAAUUUUUUGUAGAUCUAAGCGAAUGUUACUUCAAACUUGGCUCCUCUAUGAUAUCAACAAUCGAAGUGAGCAAAUCUUCCACUUGGAAAGUCUCCAAUGUAUUCUUCAUUCAAAAUUUAUACAAUAUUUUCUUCUCCAAAAAUAGAGUCUACAAAACCCUAAGCUAAACUAUAGGAAACUUGGGGAAAAAAGAAUGUGAUAGAAUGAAUGAAUUAUCAAAUUAGGGUCUGAGUCUUGAUUUGUUGGGAAAAUUUAGGAUAGCUUCGUGCAUUUAAAGUUUUUUCCCUAGGUUGAAACCCUGCUAGGCUGCGAUCGUGGUGUCUUUAAUGUGACUACGGUACAAUGAUCACAGGAAAUUCCAUGUGAUCGCAAAACUUUGACCGGCUUGACUCACGGGAUCGCGGGUGUUAGCUCGCGAUUGCAAUAACUGAGGCUAUGUUAUGCUCUAGGUCUUCCACUGCACUUCUUUGCUUCUAUUUGUUCCUUUUUGUUGCUCCCAUCCACAUCUUUUCAUCUCAUCACUGUUGUGCCUGUAGAAUAUGGAUAUUAGUGUAUUCAAUCACAAUUAUUUCUCACUUAUUCAUUCAAAAUAAGGUAAUGUCCACCAAUGAGUAUGAAUGAGUGGUAAAAUCACCACUCAUCAAUACCCCCUACUUAACGCUUUUGCUUUCCCUCAAGCAACACUACCUCAUACUAUGAUACACAAUCAUCUAUGCCCUAACUUUAUGCCUUAAAGAUCACAAUGACUUCAAUCUUAGUCGUUAUGUCAAGUAGCUCAUUGCACAUGGGCACACUAUUUUUCACUAUACCCCUCAUCAUAAGAUGUUAUAUCCAGGGAUGAACAAGACUUUAAAGAGCAACCAAGAAACAAAAAUUUACACUCUAGAAGUGACUUCCUUUUGACCACAACUAAGCGAUACUACACUUUACUCAUUGCUCGGGAGGUCACAAAAUUAGCCACCUUGACUUGUUCGCAUGCCAACCUCACAAUAAAGAGAAUUCCAUACACCAAACCAUCAAUAUGCAAUAAGAAAUUUUAAGUUCAAAAACUGUCUCCCUCUCAAAAGAAAUCUCUAUGCAACAAGUGUCAUACCAUAGGUUUGCCCCUAUUUUCAAUCGCAACAAUAAAGAAAGUACAUGGUUGGAGAAAUCCAAGGACUUUCUAAGCUAUUAACAUAGGUUUGAUUUAGGGUAGGCUAUCAUUUGGGAAUGUCAUGGCUACACCCUUCGUUGAACAUCUACAUCACACUUUUCAAUCCUCUCUUUUGGCUAUGGGCCACUCCUCUUUGUUUUCUCUCAUUUCAUAUGCCUACUUUUUGCUUCCAUUGUUCACCCAUUUUCAUUAUUUCUUUUUCCUGUAAUUUCCAUGAGUUAAUUUUUUUGGUUGAACCCUUACUUUUUCUAGUCAUUUAUUUUCAAUGGUUAAGCACUUAGAUAUUUCACUAACAACUUUGUGGCCCCAUACUUACUUCCAUCAAUCUUCUCAACCCCAACUUAGCAUUUUAUCCUUAAGUUGCAUUUUCAAGUUCAAGAAGGGUAGGGUUUAAAAGAGGGAUAGAAAGAAUGGUUCACGGAUUUUAAUGUAUUUGCCAAAGAAAGGUCCAACUGCUCAAAAUGGGUAACUAGUGAUUUCAUUUAUGUAUGGGUAGGCUUUUUAGGAUAGAGUGGGUUUCCAUGAUCACAAGGAUGGCCUAAGAUCAUUUCUUCAACCAACUACAAUCCAAAUUAGCUUUGAAACACUAAUGGGGAAAGUUCUACAUAACACAAGUAUACAAGAGAUGAAUACAAAGAGUUCACCAUACAUGACAUAAAAAUUUGCCAAGGAGGCUCAAUUGCCCCUCCCACUAGAUACAAAAAAAAAGAGUAUCUACCAAUUUUCACAAUAAAAAAUUUAGAGUCACCAAAAAGAGAAAAAGAAUUGUUACAAUGCCGCUCACAUCUAUGCCCUUGAUUUUUGAAAAAGUUUGGAUGGAUGGGUGUGUUUGCUUUGCAUUUACACCAUGUAUAAUCUAGAAACUAUGGAAACAACCUAAGCCUUUGUCUCAUAUUUGGCUUUCAUAUGGACCACCAUAUGGCUACUCAGAUUUUGCUAUGGAGAUACAAUGUGAUCCUAACUUUACAAUGCCAUAGGUACUCAAGCUUUCCUUGCAUUUAUGACCUUGAUUCAACGGGUACUCAAAAUUCCCCUGAAUUUAUGGUUUAAAACCCAAACACCAUCCUUUCCCUUAAGAAUGAUGUCACUCAAUUUAUCAUAGGGAAAAGAUCGUCCAACAUUAUUAUUAAAAAAAAUAAAAAGAAAAAAUUGAAAACAAUCUCUUUCACAAAAUUUCCAUGUUUUGCAUCAACUAAGAUCAAGUAUUGCAAGCCAAUAUAUACACAUAAGGGUAGGGCCACACCUCCAAUCAUAAGAAUAGUACUGACCUCACUACAUAAUUUAAAAGCAUAAGAAGGGUUAAAAAGCUCCCUGAACCCGCAUUAAUAACCAUGUCAAAAUAUGGAAAGAGAGGCAUAAUUGCGGCUUGAUUGGUGCGAUCGUGGUGUAGCAUGGCAGCCUAUGGUCCACGAUCGUUGUACCUGAGGCCAUCUGCUCCUCUAUUUUUUUCCUAUUUUCCUACAUGGUUACCACACUUCUAACUUGGUUUUUCCCUUGUAUUUGGCUUUUAAUCUUGUCCAAAUCACCUAUAAAACAAUUAAAAUUAUUUGACUUUUUCCAAAAAUAUAUAACUAAGAAUAUGAAAAUAAUGGGUUGCCUCUCAUCAAGCGCCUGAUUUAACGCCACGACACGACGCCUUUUUAAUCCUUAUUUGUGUCUCCACUUAGAAGAUUUGAAAUUCUUGCCCAAUUGUUGAUCAUUACAACUUUUAGGCAUAUUAGGAAAAUGUAGGGUCAUGAUGAUGAGUGUUCUAUCAUGUCACUUUGAAGACUUGAACCCUUUACCCAACUUUGUAUCCAUUUUGUAGUUUGGCUCCUUGCAUAAAAGAGUGUGCAUUAAUAGGCCAUUCCAUAUGCUUGGAAAGUUAAGUUCCUUGGCCAUUGAUGUAUAGGGCUCCAUAUGAUCCGUUGGAGUGCAAAAUUCCAGGAUAUAAUUGUAUAGUUCCCUCUCUCCACAAUUCAUCUUUAACUCGAGUAGAUAAACUUUUAUCUAAUCCAACAAGCAUAAUGUUGAAAACUGGUUAGAAUGGGGUUCCAUCCUUAAUUUAGGAAUUACAUCCAACUUAGCAUAGACACCCCAAAAUGAGCUAGACUCAUCAUAAGAGACUUGCUUGGCUUCUUCUAUGGACUCUAUCCCCAUUCCCUUUACUAUGGAUUCUUCUCCCUCGUACGAGUUGGAUGAUUAGGAAGUCAUUAAGAUAUCUUUACUACCAAGCUUAUCAUCAUAUCUUGGUUUCUCUUGAUGAUAAAACUCCUCUUGAGUAAUAGGAAAGACACUAAUAGUUUUAAGUUUUUCUUUUUUUCCUAAUAACUCUUCCUUGACACCCAUCCAUUCUUUGUACAUGGAUUCCAUAUUCUCCCCGAUUGCAUCUACUCGGUUAAAAAUAGUUUGGAGAAUUACUUUAAGACCGGUGGAUUUGGAUUGUUGUUCUUCUUUCUUUUAUUCAUGGGACCUAUCAAACUCAUAAGAAGAGCUAGCAACUCGAUUAGUAUAAUAGGGGAAGGUGGUGUUUGGACACUUGUCCCAAUGUCCUUGUAGAUGGACAUACAUGGGGCAAUCAUACUCCCACUCAAAUUGAGAUAGUAAAAUCUCUCCUCGGGGAACAUACUUACAAUCUCUCCUAAAGUGUAGUCCAUAACAAAACGAACAUGGGAGGUCACGAUAUGACUUCCAAUCGUUAAACUUAUAUUUGUUAGAAGAAGCCAUCAAGAAAAGUAACAAUAAAAUGAAAUCUACCUACAAAGAAAAAUCACAAACAAAUAUUUACAAGCUUGAAUUCAAGCAAGUAACUAAGAUUGAAAACUAACUUAAUACGCCAUAUUGUUCCCCAACAAUGGCACAAUUUUUUAUAGCGCUCAACUUACACGUCAGUUUGAGUGCAAGGCGGUUGUCGUCAAUAUAUUAACCCAACUUUGGAGUAAGGGUCGAAUCCAUAAGGAAUAAUGUGAGUGGAGAUCAAAUUAAUUUGAAAUGAUAAUUACAAGUCAAAGUCAAAAAAAUGGCACAAAAAGAUAAAAUGAGGGAGGUAAGGUCCUACACUAAUGUUUCUUUCUUGGUUUUUCUAUUAUAAAUCUAGGCUACAAAUAAUUAGAGUUUUCACAAUUAUGCACUAAUUCUUGGGAUUAUGCAUUACUAAGGGAGUGAAGUGUGGGUACUAGUCAUCAAGAUCAAUAUAGCAAUUCAAAAAUAGGUACAUUUGGUUAUAGAUUUUGAUGCUAGUCUUUCAACAAAACACCAAAAUUUCACCCAUUGAUAUUUUCGAAUACCUAAUGGAUGUGUACAACAAUUAGCAAUCACAACCUCAAUCAAUGGAUCCCUAAUUCUAGGAUGACACCCAAGGCAUAGUCAACCUCACUUUCACUCUUAUUUCUAAGAUAGUGAGAAUUUAGCAAACUACACACAUAAUUGUCUAUUAUUUCUUUGGUCUCCACAUCCCUCUUUUGAGGAUGAUAUAGAUUCCAAAUCAUCACCCAAAACACUUUUUUCAAAAUAGCCUUGGACGUUUUAGAGCUUGUAGCUUUCACCUAUCAAACCCAUGUGGGUAUUUGGAUCUUUCACCCAUCAAAUCCCAACUAAACUAGCAUAAAAAUAAUAGAACCCAUAAUCAUGAACAACCAAAUAGAUUCUAACAAUAACAACCCACACACACUUUAAUCUCUAUUCACACAUAACCCCAAGAUGGAGAUUGUUGUACACAUAAGAUAAAUAAGCAUAGAUAUACCCAUAAUCUCCAUUGAAUUAAUUUGUGGUAGAUUUAAGUGAAAGUUAAUUUAAACAUCUAUCCUCCACAAUAUCAACAAUGGAAAUUAGCAAAUCUUUCACUUGGAAAGUCUCCAAUGUAUUCUUUACCCAAAAUUCAUACAAUAUUUUCUUCUCCAAAAAUAGAGUCUACAAAACCCUAAGCUAAUCUAGAGAAAUAUUGGGGAAUAAGGAGUGUGAUGGAAUGAAUGAAUCAUCAAAUUAGGGUUUCCCUCUUCUGUUGUUGGGCAAAUUUAGAACAACUUCAUGUAUUUACAGUUUUACCAUUAGGCAAAACCCCGCUAGGCCUUAAUCGUGGUGUCUUUAACGAGACUGCGGUACAACAAUCGCAAGAAAUUCCAUGCGAUCGAGUCACUUUCACCUACUUGACUUGGCACAAUCGCGGACUAACGCCUGUAAUCACGAUAAUUGAGGACAUGUUCUGCUCCAGGUCUUUAGUUGGACUUCUUUGCUUUCUUUUGUUCCUUUUUGUAUCUCCCAUCCACAUCUUUUAAUCUCAUCACCUUUGUUCCAUGAGAAUAUGGAUAUUAGUGCAUUCAAUCAUAAUUAUUUUUCACUUAUUUAUUCAAAACAUGAUAAGGUGCAUAAAUGAUGAGUGUUAAUGAGUGGUAAAAUCACCACUCAUUAUGCACCCAUUAAGAAACCAAUCAUAAUAAAGAUAAAGCAAUGCAUGGCAUGGGUAUUGGUUCAGGUCAACAAUUGCACUUCUCCUAUUUCAUCAAUUUUUCAAAGUUUAGACAACCCUAGCUAUAAGUUUUAAUCGCUCUUGAUUGUGAAAAAAAAAGUUUUAACCGCUCUUGAUUGUGAAAAAAUCUAUAACAUCCAUAGUAGAAAGCAUAAAUGAAAUCACAAUGAGAUGAUGAAUAAGAAACCACAAUCAUAAACUGAAUAAUUAAUCAAAGUUAUUAUAAUGAAAUCCCAAGAUCAAAGACGGAUCUUGAAAUCAAAAUAUAUUUCUAAUUGUCAAAAUGUGCAUCACUCUAAGUAAAAAGUACAUAAGGGGUAUCUAUAGUACAAGCAAAAUCCCUAAAAACAAAGCCUGGGUGAAAUACGAGAAAACAAGGUCAGUAGCCACCUGCUCUCUGUGCCUGUAGUCUGGAACAAGUGCAGGUACUACCUAUGGUGUGGCACAAGGAGCAGGUGCACACCACAGGUUGUGGAUUGACAAUUUCCUACAAGUUAGCUCUCGGGAUUUUGGGUUUAUGGUACCCGAUUUGUCUACAUGAAGUCCGUAGGUCUAUAUGUGGUCCAUAGGUUGACUUAGUAGGUGCUGGGAGUCAAUUUUUAAGCUCUUCUGCAACUCUCGAACAUUCAUUGAUCACGAUUAAGUCGAAAAAUAUCCCAAAAAUCCAUAAUCACUCCAAAAGUAAUCAAAAACACCUUAUUCACCCUUUUCAUGAACUUAGCAUUCAAAUCAUCGUUUCCUACUAAACAUACCCAAAAUAGAUCAUAUCUAAGAAAAAGGACUCAGAAACUUACAUGUUUUCCUUGUUUUAAGCAUUGAAAGUGUUAUAUUUCUAUAGCAUAUCAACACCCUUAACUUAGAAUGUUUGCAUGUCCUCGGGAAACAAAAACACAACAAAACAAAAGCCACCCUUACUGGGAGAAUCUAAGCUAUUCAAGGUAGCAGUCAUCACAUUUAGUUCAAAUCACAACAUCACCUCCUAUAUCACUUUUCAAAGCCAACUGUGUAUAAAUAUGCAUAACAAUGAGAAACAAUAGGAUCAAAGUAUGGAAAUUAGAUUAGAAAUAUAUAACCACUCAUGUGUACAAAUUACACUACCCUAAGCAAGUAAGUAUCCAGAAACAUGACUUAAGUGCCCUCAUAACAAAGAUGUCCCACUCACUCAAUAAAGUAAUGCAUGUCAAUGCAGGGACGGUCAAGAGACACUCACGCUCAACAAAGAAGUUCCAAUCAAUGAAUGUCAAAUACCAUAAGCUUUCCCUAUUUUUAUUUACCUUAACAUUUAGAUAGUCAAGUUAGGAUCACUAUAGAAUUUUUCUUGGCUUGUAAUUUUAGCAUGGGGGCUGGUUUGUUACAUAUGGAUAUAUCAAGUGACUAAGACUCCUUGGCACUACACUAACUUUGGGGUCUCACGUACUAUCCAAUUUAUUUUUUAUUCCAUCUUUAUUUCUCCCUUUUAUUCUUUUAUGCAUAUUCAGGUUGGGUGCGGUCUUUUAUUCUUUCUUCUUUGCUUUUUCACAAUUUUUAUUUUUCUUUUCCUUUUUCUACCACACCCAACCUUACUAACUUUUUCUUACUUUACCCUUCUUCAUACCCAUUUUACUCUACACACCCUUAUGAUAGCCACCCUCAACUUAGCCAUUUUAUCAGUGUUGAGGUGCAUAAUUUCUAAGAAGGACCUAGACUAAAAUAGUUAAAUUAUAAUACAAAUGGGAAGGUGAAUGGUGAAAACAAGAAAAAUUAGCUUACAAGACUCAAAGCAUGGAUCAAGGGAUAUAAUUCACGUAUGGAAGGUCAUUUCAGCUAAUAGUGGACUAAAAUAAAAGAUGACCAAUGAUCCUUUCUUAACCAACUAUACUUCAACCUAGGAAACACUAUCCAGGCAAUAUCUGAACUCGUCAAACAAAGGGAACUAGGUAAUAUCUCACUCACACAUAGCACAAAGUCAAUAUCACUAACUACUACCUAUUCAGUUCAUAAAAUUGUCAGCAAUUGGUUAUCAUGUCCAUAAUCCUAAUGCAAUAAUGAGAUCUACAAUGUUCAAACAUAUAUGCAUCAACACAGUUCUAAAAACUCAAAAUUUUGGAAGGGUAUCAAAAAUUAGUCAAAAUAUGACUACUACACUAACUACUAAAAAAUCUCCUAAUUAUACAAACACAAUACUAUAAAAAGAAAAUCACAAUACGACACAGUUAUCCUAGACAUGUUAGUUCUAAAACCAUACCGUGAUCGAUAGAAAAGAAGUAUGGCAAUAAAAACCCACAGCUGCAUGGUAUGCCUCCUCCUAACUAAAAAGUUGUGCACUAUCUUUAAUGUUCUACAACAAAGGGAAAAAAGGAAAGUGAGAACAUACCUGGGAUAUACUAGGCGCUCGAGUCAGGAGCAUCCCUAGAUAGAGACAUAUCAGCUAGCAGAGGUGACGAUGGUGGUGCACUACUGGUGGAUUCACCCUCUGCUAUAGAUGUACGCCUCUUCUUAUCGAUGAAUAAUAGCUAAAGAAUUAUUCCUAGCCUUUUUAACGACCUCUUUCUCUAUCAUAUCAGAACCCUGCAAGUCAUCUAAAUGACCUCUCUUGGUCUAAACUGCUGGGAACUUUUCAUCAUCCUCUAUAAGGAAAUCAAUCUGUAUCGGUGCACAUAGAGGUGAUAUCUAGACCAUCGGCGGUAAAGUCAAGGGAGUAUAUGCUACAUGGCAUUUAGCAAGAGUGUGUACCUCUACUUGUAGGAUAUAAAAAUCCUCCCUCAUCUAAACUAGAUCUGACACACCUAUUUUUAUAUAUCGAGAUAUAACCUACUCUCUAACUUAUCAAUCCAUAUAUAAAAAUUAGCUUGCAUCUCUAAUAGUACGACUCUCUUAACAUCCUCCAAUAUAGCCGCGCCCUACUUAAAUUUUAUCCUAACCCCUGAUCUUAUUUGACCAAAGAGGGUAGUUAUCUCGAUCUCAUCCAUCUUUAACCAAGCAGUUGUAGCCCUCUGGGUGUCCACUGGGCUCUGUAAAAACUCACUGGAUAUAAUAAUGAUGCCUGUCGCAGGAGCUGUAAUGGAUGGGCGAGCAGGCUCUAUGGAUGCACAAAUAAGUUCUGAGCUAAAGUCGGGGCGGAAGAAGAAAUAGCCUGUGUCAUAUCGCCCUUAUACUAGAAUCAAGAGCAUACCUCUACUCCCCUAUCUCUAUGAUAAUUCCAAUACCUCUAUCAUAUGUAUGUGCCUUAUCAGGCUAUUCAAAAACUACUGGACCCUCAGACUGGUCCUAUGGUACUGUUUGUCACUAUCUCGAUCUCCUAAAAGUGAUUAAAGAAGCUACAUCUUUUAUGGUCCUUAUCUGCACAGUCAUAAUCGCAGGUACCCUCUUAUCAAUACCUGGUAACUCAGUUACUCUAGCCUUAUCACAUAGCCUCUGGAUCAUGUAAGGGAAUGGAAAAUUAGUCAGCUCACUAAAGGCUCUAUCGUGGAACUCAUGCCUCAGAAUAGAAGAAAUAUAAACAUCAUAACUAGCCAUCAAAUAGGCAACCAGUGUUGCUCUCCCCACAUAAAUAUUUUAUCUAAAGCAGUGGGUAUUAGUUGGUAUCUAAUUAGUAACUACAAAAAUUUGGCCUUCAAUGUCAAGAGGCCUUCUUGAUCACAGCCUGCCCCUCAAUCCAUAGGGUCGUAUCACCAAGUGGUGAAAUAUAACUGGUUAUCCUCCUAGCCUUCUUAAUGUUGCUCAGCAUCCUACAUGAUAUGUCGAUCUCAUGUUAUCCUCAGUCUGUGGUCUCACUCAAUUGUAGAUGUAGAAGUGAUUUAACCUAAGCUGAAUAUAACUCUGUGGAUAGUGUUUGUUGAUAUGUCAACUCUGACCUCUCUAACCAGUGUUUGAUCAAGUUGUGUCUUCCAUAAUAAUCUGAUAAAGCCUGGAUGAUAGUGCAUAGGAUGGAUUACAAUAGCUAUGUAGGAUGCAUAUAAUUCCUACCCCAUAGCCAGGCUAUAGGAAUUAAGAGGGUUGGUCAUCCACUCUAGCUGAUAUCUAUCAAAUAUUUCCCAUGGUUGUGGUACUCACUCUAGCCUUGAUAAAUCAAUUCUACACUCACAUACAUGACUUUGAUGCUCAAAUAUAAGUUGUAACCCUUCCACACACUAUAUCAAAUGUCCCUUCUUAAGAGAUGCAUCUAGGGUAUGUGCUGGUGCAGGGCUCUUCUUCACUAAAGCAUUGAUGGAAGGAUGCUCUUCAUCCUCAUCAAAUUGGGGUAUAUCUUUUUACUGUGCAUAAGUGGAACUACCCUCCUCAGACCAGGGAAUCACAGGUGACUGCUCUUGCUCAACCUUAUCAGAUGAAUCCUAGGAUCCCUCUUCAAACAUGGGGUCCUGAGCAGCAGCUUGUAGAGUAGUAUCAGACUCAGUCUUCUAAUUAUCAUAAUAAUCAAGUGGUGGAUUGUGUGUGGGUGAUAUAUAUGUGGAAUUCAUCCUCAGUCAGGCUAUAGCUAACUAAGCAUCCAGGUGAGUCUGCCCUCUUUUGACUUUGUGUGUCACCCUUGCGACAAUCUCUCUACGCCGCUGCCUUGGAUACUCCUCUACUUAUCCUCUAGGCUUAGGAGACUAUGUCCGUCUCUGUGAAGUACCGACCUUUAUCUUUUGUACUUCUUUAGGUUCCAUAUGUACUUUAAAAACUAAUUGUCAGUUUCCAACAAAAGUAAGGGAUAACAAAAGUUGAAGAAAAACUCAAAAUUCAAAAAGUUUGAAUUUUUUCUCAAUUUUUGCAUCCCUAUAACCGAUUUGAAAUCUCAACAAGUCCAAUGUAUACACACUAAUCAAGAAUCAUGAAUUACAUAGCAAACAAACACGCUCAACUAUUGGCAUUACUUUUAUUCAUUCAAGUUCAACUUUCGGUUAGGGUCUAAACUUGGAAUUUUAAUUCAAAACAAGGACAUACAACAUGAUUUUAGGCUACUUCAAGGAUCCCACAUAUAAGUAUAAUAGUUUCUAUAUAUUUUGUAGUGGAAUACAUAUGUCAACUUUUUACAACAAAAGAUAAACCAAUAUAUGACCAUUAGGAGCCAAGAAAGCUACCUUUUAUAUGAAGAUCCAAAAGACAAUAAUGAAGAAAUCAAGAAAAACCAAGCUUUAAAAUUGUUUUUAGUGUGUUGGGACAAGUUGGUAUCUCAAACAAGUGUCAAUUUAACCUUUACUUAAGUGUGGGGUUAGUUGGUGUUUUAAGUGGGAAGUUUGAAUUCAAAGAGAAAAGUGAAGUUUUGAGGUGUAGAAUAAGUAAGAAUGAGGGUAAGAAUAUUUUUAUAUAGGUACGGGGUUGUUUUAGGCCACACUUAAAUAUUGGUGGGACCAAAAUUUUAUUUAAAAAUCAGUCCCAUAAACUGACCUAGUUGCGACUUAUACCUGUGGCCUACACUCACGGUCAGGCCUAGGGAGUUGGUACUAAUUGCGGCCCAUAGGUACUGGGCACAGGUGCUGAGUAAAAAUUCUUAGCCCACCUUCCUAAAUCUUAGACUCAACGUUUUGAUAUUCUUCCAGAUACUUAUGGUCCCACAACCUAUGUUUUAUGUCCCAAAAGUAAAAUUAAAUGCCAGAGACCAUAACUUACCAUUUUUUAUCCUUAAAAUUUCAACUUUUCUACUUGGUACGCAACUUACCAUGUGAGACUUGUUACCAUGAUGGGCUGAUCACACAGUCCCCUUUCUUGGAAAAUGAUGAAUGUAUCAAUUUUUUACCGUGUUUCGGGUAAGGUCCAAAAGCUAAAAAAUACAAAAAGAGAAAAAACAACAAAAAAUAAAGACUAAAAUAUAGUGGGUCGCCUCCUACUCAGCACUAAAUUUAACAUCAUGGUACAAUGUGUCUAUGUUGGUUACUUAGACUUCACCAAUAAGCCCAUGGGUUGCCUCCCAUGCAGUGCUUGAUUAAACAUCACAGGUAUCUUGACUACUCAGAAUUCAUCAAGAUACCCAUAGGAAUAUCCUCCAGGGUCAUCAAUACAAUCAAUUACCGACACUAUCCUCCUGCCAGUUGGUUGCUUCAUCAACCUUUGAAUGUUUACUGUCGCCUCCUCACCAUUGAAUCUAAAUUUCAUCUCACUUUUUUCCAUGUUACCAUAGAUCUGGCUGUGGCCAUAAACAGUCUCCUCAGUAUAAUAGGUAUCUCGAUGUCAACUGCACUGUAUAAAAUGGCAAAGUUAGUUUAAAAAAUGAAGUUAUCCACCAUCACGAUCACAUCAAACAAGAUUCCCACAUGAUUUUCACUGUUCGGUCUACCAUCAAUAGCCCCAUCAAAGUCGAUUCUAGAGAGUUCAAGCCUAAUUUCUUGAAUACAGCCAGCGGAAUCCAAUUAAUGUUGGCCCCUAAAUCAUACAAGGCUUGGGAAAAUUGAUAUUACCCAAUGGUGCAUGGUAUAGUGAAGCUCUGCGAUCACCCCUUUUUUCGCUCCAAGGACCUAGUUGUGACUGCACUAUGGUGGUGCAUAUCAUCAAUAUCAUCAAAAUUUGCUCUUGUAUACCUUGUUAACAACUAUUUUAUUAACCCGUGUAUCCAAGCAUAUGAUCUAAUGCCUCAAAAAGAGAUAUAUUCAAGCACAAUUCUCUCUGCAUCUCAGUAAAUCACUUGAACUUACCUUUCGUAGGGGUGGUCUUGAGAAUCUUUUUGACUUGUAGCUCAAUGACCAGAACUUUACCUUUAUCUUCAGAAGUUUUAAAUUUAUCACUUGUUACCUUUUUAGAAUCAGUAGUAGGUCUCUCAACAAUAAAUACUUUAGCAGCAAGUAGUGGGGGAUCCAUACUAGUGAUACCACUCCUCAUGGUAAUAACAAAUACAUGACAAUUAUGUUUCAGAUUUUGCACUGUGUUGCUCGAAAGGGUACCUGGCUACCUCUUGUUUAGAAUUGCUGACAUCUACCUAAAUUGGUGCUCCAACUACUUAAUAGCAAUGGCAUAUGACUUGACCUUCUGGGUUAACCCUAAAAUAUUAGCCUUAAUCUUCUUAAGGCUGGUUUCCUGCCUUUCUUGACCUUUUACUAACAUAGCCAACAUCUCCUUCAUUUUGGAUUCUACAUUAUGUCUACCUAGUGGAAUGCACCUAUCUCACUACUCUCUAUAGUCAUCCUUCUUUCUUUUAUUGCUAUCUUUCUCUCUGCUAUAGUAUUUAUAUCUAUCAUAAUAGUUUCAACCUUUAUUCCCUUACCCUUGGGCUCAGAAACCUGCCAUCUGGAAAUCCAAAUAAUUAGCUCUAUCUUCUAAUUCUGACACAUAUACUUUGGAAGAUGAACCAUGUGCUGCUACUGAAUUCACUUUCUAAGAAUUUGUUGCUACAAAAUGCUUUGCUAGCACCCCUAAGUUAGUCCUUAGUAACUAAAUUUCUUAUGAUACUAUAUCAUCAACUACUCUCAGGUUGUAGAAGGAUACAAUAACAUAUAUACAGAUCCCCUCUUAGCCUCCUGAGUUUGCCACCCUCUGAUAGUGAGUGAGAUCCGAUCUAAAAUCUCUGAAGAUGCCUCCUAGUGUAGUCUUAUAAAAGCUGCUCCAGAGAUGGUGUUUUCCAUGGCUCUGAAACUGAUGGUCAAGGCUCUAUAGAAUAUCUCUGAGAAGAUUGUAUGUAGCAACAAAUGAUUUGGCAUCGUGCUCAACUUCUUCUUAAGCCUGAACUAAGCCUCGUGCCUGGAAUCUAACUGCAGUUUCCUAAAAUUAUAGAUCUUAUCCUUUAGAUGUAACAUCCUUGAUCAAGGUAAUAACCUAUUUAAGAAUUGUCUGCGCAACUCAUUCCAAGUCAAGAUCGAUCCUCUUGGCAAUUUCCUUAACCAUAAAAAUGUUUCUCCUGUGCGUGAAAGGAAAAAGUCUCAGUUUAAGUGGUUCCUGGUCUACCCCUGGGAUGCUAUAUGAGGUGCAGAUCCCAAGGAAAUUUUCAAGCUACAAAUUUGCAUCAUUGGUAGACAAUCCUGCAAACACACCCUUAAAUUUAGAAGUCUGAUCAUGGCACUCGUGAUGUCAAAUUUGAUGCCUAAGGGAAAAGUAGAACAUAUUAUGGAUCUUAUCUCGGUCAGUUUGACAUAUUAAAGAUCUUCUUCAUUAUCUCUACAUGCUUGCAUGUACUCAUAUGCUGGGAUUACUUGAACACGAGAACCUCUAGCUCAGCUCUAGAUUCAAUCGAGGGCUGCUAGGCAAUCUGUUGCCUAUAUAUACGUAGUAAGAUCAUCUCCCCUAGCUACUCUCUAUGCUUAUUCUGUUGCCCUCUUCUCAGCUUCAACAUAAGCUAACAACUCACCGUCUACCGACCAAUAAUAUCUUGCACUCCUUCGGGUAGAGGCACAACAUCAUGAACCAUUUAACGAUGAUCAGCUUUUUUCUGCGUAGACAUCCUACCAUGUGUUUUUUGGAUCCUCUGUGGAUUUAGAUUGACUGGGAGUAAGGUUUUACCUCUACUCUGUAUGUUAGUCAUACACCGGCAUAUUCCCAAUUAAGAACAAAAAUAGAAAUAAAAACCCAAAAACUUCAACAAUCUUCAAAUCCAAAUCAACACCAUGUUCGCUGGCAACGAUGCCAAUUUCUUAAUGACGUAUAAGCAACACCUCCUUUUAAAUAAUGAUACGAUCAUUGUCAAGAUACAGUAACCCAAAUAAGGUUGGGGUCAAAUCCAAAGGGAACACGUGGCUUUGAAAAUCUAAGUAGUUGUAGUCAAUGGGCAAUACAAGAAAAGUAAAUAUGGGGUUUUGUUUGUAGUAAUAUCAAGCAAAGAACAGUAUUAACUUGGUUGAAAUCAGUCAUAAGUGAACACUAGGAUUGUUUUCCCCCUGGAUUCUCAACUUCAUAAGCUUAUCAUGUGUUAUUGAACCAAUCCAAUACCUUGCAUACAGAAUCUAUAAGUUAUGUACCUCCUACAGUCUUUUCGACAAGUAGGAUGAUUUCACCAUUUACCUUAUGUGUCUCAGGGUGUUGCAAUAUUAACCAUUAUCUUGAUCCCAAUUAGCUAUUACCUUUUGCGUAUCUAGUUAUUAGGUGAACCUAACCAUCUUACAUAGAUAGAAACUAGAAGCAUGGAUCAACAGUUAAACUCCAAAUUACUAUUGUCUUUAUUUUUUCCUAGUCACUACUCCUUUUUGGACUAAGUAUUAAUAUCUAGGCAGGAUCCUAAUGUGUUCACCCAUUAAGAAAUAAAUCAUAACUAAUAUAAAGCAUUGCAUGCCAUGGGUAUUAGUUCAGAUCAACAAUCGCACUUCCCUUACUUUGUCAAUUUGCCAGGGUUUCCACAACCCUAGCUAUGGGUUUUAGCUGCUCAUGACUAUGAAGAAAUCAAUAAAAUCCAUAAUAGAAAGCAUAGAUAAAAUUAAAAUGAUAAGAUAAAUAAAAAUCCAUAAUCAUAAACUGGAUAAUCAAUCAAAGUCAAUACAAUGAAAUCCAAAUAUCAAAGAUGGAUCUUAAAAUAAAAAUAUGUUUCUAAGUGUUAAAACUAUGUCACUCCUACUAAAAAGUACAUAAGGGGUAUUUAUAGUACACGAGAAAACUCUAAAAAACAAAGACCAUAUAAAAUACGAGAAAAAUAGGUCGGUAGCCACUGCUCUCUUUUUUAAAAGUUUGGCAUAGGCGCAGGUACUACCUACAGUCUGGCACAAACGCAUGUACUACUUGUGGUCUAGAUAAAGGUAUAGGUGAAGACCACAGAUUGUGGAUUUGAGUUUCUGGCUGCCGCUUAGUCAACAUUCGACCUGUAGGUCUACAUGUAGUCUAUAGGUUGACUUAGUAGGUCUCGAGAGUUAUUUUUUCAACUCUUCUUCAACUCUCAACAUGCAUUAAUUGAGAUCAAGUCAGAAAGUAUCCCAAACAUCCAUAAUCACUCCAAAACUAUCCCAAAACACCUUUUUUAUGAACAUAGCAUCCAAAUCAUGGUUUCCUACAAAACACACCCAAAGAAGAUCAUAGCUAACCAAAAGGCCUCAGAAACUUGUAUGUUUCCUUGUUUUAAGCAUCGAAAAGGUUAUAUUUCUAUAGCACAUUAUAUGCACUGCUUACUUAAAAAAAAGGUGGAGAUUGGGGAAAGGAUAUACAAGAGUGAUUUGAAGCUAAUUGUCGAUCUAAGAUAAUCAUCUUCAUCUAAUUAAGAUAAUUAUAUUUUAUCUAAUAACUUGAAAUUAACAAGGUAAUAGUUAAUCUAGGAUCCAGAGCAAGGUUAGUUACACGACACUUUGAGACUUAUAAGGUAAAAAGUGAUAUUUUAUAAUAAGUCCACAAGAUAGUUGGUGAUACAUAGCUUGUCAGAUUCUGCAUGCAAGGUAUUGGAAUAGUUCAAUAGUGUACGAUAAAUCUACAAAUUUAGAAGCUAAGGGAACGUGAGACCAGUGUUCGUCAUAGAUUGAUUACAACCAAACCUUACAAUUUUUGUCAAUUUUUACUAUUCCUACAAACUCGCCCAUUGACUUUCUACCCAACCCGAUGAUUUAUUUAACUUCCAUAGAGAUAUAUCUGGCCUAUUCUUUGGGAUCAACCCCAACCUAUUUGGGUUAUUAUUUUCUAACAUUAACUGAUUUAUCCUUCUAAGGAGGCAUAGUUUGAGCGAUAUUACUACAUCAAGUCCUUAGCUAAUUUGAUAGUACGACUUGACAUUUCUGACCAUGAGGAUUUAUGCUAGUGUUGAGGCAAGGUCUAUUAUAUUUGAGAAGAUUUGGAGUUGCCAAUUUAAGUAUAUAAAACUUGGUAUCAUCCAUGAUCAAGUGGUGAGUAGUGAGUCCAAGAGAUUAAUUCUGAGGGUGAUAUGAUAUUUCAUGGCCAUAUUUAUGUUUUAGGAGAGUUUGAGGCUUGAUUCAAGUAAAUUUUAUGUGAGACUUACAACUCAAGCAAUUCUAUUCACAUAGUUACAUCUAAGAUGUAUAGGUAUUUUAGGUAGCAUUAUUGGUGGAGUGGCAUGAAGCAAGAUGCGAAGAUCAUUUCUUAUGUUGUCAGCAGGUGAAGGCCAAGCAUUAAAUACCUAGUGUCUUAAUUCAUAGAUUACACAUUCCAGAGUGGAACUGAGAGCAGAUCACCAUGGACUAUGUUAAUAUUUUGCCUUGCACAUCUUGUUGUUAUUAUGGUAUUUGGAUUAUUGUUUAUUGGUUGAUGAAAUUGGAAUAUUUUGUUCCUAUUUAAAUGUCUUUCAGUGCCGAGAAGAUAGCCUAUGUCUAUGUUUGUGAAAUAAUCUGUUUGUAUUGAGUUUCAUUUAUCUGUCAUUUUAGACCGAGCCUCAGUGUUCACUUCUAGCUUUUUGAGUGAUUUUUAGGUGGAGUUGGGUACUCAGGUGGAUCUUAGCACAACCUUCCACCCUUAGACUGGUGCAAAAUCAGAGCAGACUAUCUAGGAUUUUGAUGAUAUGCUCUAAUCCUUUGUUAUGGAUUUUGAAGAUUAGUGAGAGCAACACUUGGACUUGGUGGAGUUUUUAUAAUAAUAGCUACUAUUUGGGGGAGCAACCCAUUUCUUUUGUACUCAUGCUACACUUUUGUACAUUUUUGGUGCAGAUUUGAGUACUAGUGGUUGUUGUUGAGGCCACGAUUAUGUUGUUUGAGUUUGGAGAUAGGGUGAUCUCUUAGAGCCAUAUUUGCCCCUUUUCCUUGUUCUAUUUAUGUCUAGGGUUUUAUUAUUUGAGGCAGAUUUUCAUUUGACUAUUAUGGUACUCAUAUUUAUUUUGUUAGAGACUCUUGAACUAACACUACAAGGUCAUGGGAUGUUGAUUUUAUCUUAUUUACUCUCCAUAUUAGUAUUAUUUUUAUUAAUAUUUACCUUACUUAUGGUUGUAAGUCUUACUAUCAAAUUUCUGGUAAGCUAUUUUUCCACAUAAUUAGCCCCUUGAUCAUAGCUCCGGGGUACGAUUUGGCUUAUCUACUGGUGGGAUAAAGUAGGUGCCAUCAUGACACAGAAAUUGAGUCGUGAAAAUGAUGCCUUAGAUAUGAUGCUCUUAUGCAAAGUUUGUCACGGACCAAGACUGCACCUUAGAUGUAACAUGGUGGUUUGAGUCACAAGUGACCAAAACUAACUCAUGGCAUUGAAUAAUUCUAAACAGUCUGAAUAGUAAUGAGACUGAGAAGAAUCUAUAUUGUAUAUUCAUAUAAAAUCUAAAAUACUCUCAUAAGUAAACCAAAUAUAAAAAGAAUCACCAAAUUUAAAAUAAAAUGAAAUAUUUGACUCUAUAUCUGAAAAACAUCUACUUCUGACGAGCUGCUAAGAUAAGUCCCUAACUAACUCUAAAUUCUAAAAGUUAAGAACUAGGUAAAAAAAUACUCAUCCUUGAAUAUUGAGGACUCGUCGCUGGUAGUUACUGAUACAACACUGAAUGUACUAACGCAAUAUUGUGAUUGAGCGCCCAAAAGAAAGUAUGCAAUCAGUACUUUGAAUGUACUCAGCAUGUGAGAUAUGCAAGCUAUAAAUAAACUGAAGAUGCUGAAAAUACUGAUAUACUGAAUGCAAACUUAGAGCAAGGAAGUGAACUCUUGUACAACGACCCCAUAAUGAUAUACAUAAGUACUAAAAGUGCAAGGACACUUGAAAAGUCAUAAUAUAAUGUAAGUAAAACUAAAAUAAAGUUUAUGUACACAUAUAUUAAUUCAGAGUCUAUGGGAGAGACAACUAACCAACAUAAACUGCAUGAGAUAAUAUGGUGUCCAAUAUAUAUUCUCAAUUGAAAGGACCUAAUAUACUUUGACAUGGUAUAAAUGCAUGACUGGCAUGAUUACUAAUUUAAUGCCUAGCUAGGAGAGCAAAAUAAUCCUAUGGUGGCACAUAGUUCUAGGUCCUUAGGUGAAACUAAGAUCCUAGUCCAACUAAGUGAUAAGUACUACUCCCGAAUUGAUAAUAUAUUUAUAGCUCAUUAAAAUAUGAUGUCCUAAAACCUAGGUCAGAACCUAUUAACUCUGAAUAGUUUUUGAAAUCAUAUAUAUUUAAAACUAAUCAUGAUUGCUCAUAAUAAAUUUAUAAUAGUCUGACAUAUACUUCAAAGACAUAAGUGGGACAUAGGAAAGUUUACUUUAAAACAUGAUUGUUGUCAAUUCAUAUAGGAUAUUAUUAUAGUGGAUGUAAAAUCAUGAGAAAUAGGUCAUAAUACUAUUAAAGUCAUAAGAAACUUGAAUUUAAGGAAAAUCAUAAACUGGGAAUGAACCCUAAAUCAUAAUUCAUGGAGAACCUAAAAUUUAUAAUGUUAUUUGGGGAUAUAAGGGUGAAAGGAUACCCAUUGCUAAAUUCUAACAUACCUGAGUUUAAGAAAUCUCACAAAAAAGGGUUCAAACACUGAACUUGAGAAGAACCCCAUGUUUCUUAACUUGGUAAAUUUUCAUUACUUCUUAUGAUAAUAUUCUAUGUAUUUAAAUAUUUGGAUUUGGAUCCCUCUAUAAACAACCUAAACAAUAUAGUUUAGGAUACCCCUAAGUAAAGUAACUAAAAUUUUUAUGUUUGGUCGUUAUGAGUCUAGGGUACGAGUCAUUCUAGGAAAUUGAGAGUCAUCUUUAGACUUGUGACUUCUAGACUUGAUUACUAGCUUGGAUCAAGAUUUAACCCAACGAGUCAUGCGGUCUACCUAUGUGUCAUGACAAAGAUUUGUGGCCCUUGAGAGAAAAGUUGUGUCAGUAGUUCCUUAUCUGUAUGAGUUAUUUUAAGACUCGUACUCUGGUCAUAUGACUCAUGGCCUCUAGUCUUUACUACUGGAUGAAAUUUAUAAUUUUUUUUCGGACUUUUGGUUUUAUAGCUCAGGAUGAGCCACAUCAUGACUUGUAUUGACUAACCACAACUCAUGGUCUUGAGUCAUGGGUACUGAAAAUUAAAUUGUUGUUAGCUUCAUACCACAAGUCAGCCCAUGACUUGUGGCCUGAUAGUACGGCUCAUGCAAUAAGUCAUUUAGUGAUAAAAAAUUGGAUUUUUUGCUACUUUAUAUUAUAAGUCUGUGAUAGGAUUUUAAGGACUUUUGGGGUGUUACAGUUAACCCUUUUGGCUUUUAUAGUGGAUCCACCCUUAGAUGGGUGUAAUUACCCCUUAGGUAAUUCUCUUUAUCUCUACACAUUUUUACUAUUUAGAGAUUUCAAAUAACUAUACCAAAUCAUAUGUGACUUGUUGGAGCUGACAGUUUUGCUACCAAGCAGUUCAUUCAAUUUUUAAAGAUAAUUCUGUCUUUUGAAUUCUUCACUGUUAAGGAUAAGGUAUCAAGACUAAACCCCAGGUUAACGAUCUCAUAUACUAGUUCUGACAGUUUCAUUAGUAUGGAACAACGAUUUUAGGCUAGGGGACCCGUGGUUAAAAUACAAUGAUUUCAGAAAUUUUUGGGCUAUUGGAUAGAUUUUGGUUAAAAUGUUCAUUGGGUGGGGGACCCUAUUUCAUCAAAAUGCCCCAGGUAUAAAUUUCAAUGGCAUUUUUAAUUUGGGAGUGUAGAUUCUGAUAAGGUAGCAUAAUUUAUUUGCAUUCAUGGGAUUUUGAAUGAACCCUAAGGGCUAAAUGGAAACUUGGCAAAAAAAUAAAGUUUUAGCUAGUGCAGCCUCUUAAGCGUACCUUUGGUUGCUUAAGUGGUAGCCUUUGAUGAAGAAUUAGAGGCCUAUUUAGUGGCCAAGCCAAGUCCCCACCUAGCCACUUUAGUAGAGUCCAGGAUACUUUAGUGUAUGUCGCGUAAAUGACAUAUUGCCACUCAAGUGGAGCUUAGUCUGGGCACUAGUCGCUUAAGCAACCAUAUGCCACUUAAGUUAUGUAUAGCUUAAGCGAUCAAAUGGUUGCUUAAGAGACAACGAAAGGGUAUUUAUUUCACCCUUCACCUAUUUUUCUCUCAUUAUUCUCAAGCAUUAUGUCCAUCAAAUACCUAAAGAGUUAUAAAGAGAAGAGGUGACUAUUAGGGGUUUAAUGUUAGUUACUCGAGUUGAUAUUGCCCAAAACAACACCUCUAAGAAGUAUAAAGAGGUCGAUGUCAAAAUAUAGUAGCCCAACUAGGUUAGGGUCAAACCCAUAAGGAAUAGGCCAUAAAUAUCUCUCAGACUUAUUGAAAUCACUGGGCAGUGCAAAAAAGUAAAUAGGAGCAUUUGUAGUAAUCAGUAAAAGUAAAAAGAUUUGAAUGUCUUUGGUUGUAAGAAAUAUGAAAUGAACACUAGGAUUGUUUUACCCAUGGAUUCAAACUCCAUAGGUGAUCAUGCUCAAUCUAACCAUCUUACUUCAUCAUAUCCAGAAUUUGACAAAUUAUGUAAUACCAACAACCUCGCAACACCCUUUGGUGAAUCCACUCAUCUCCUCUUGAUAUCAAAGUGUCAUAUUACUAAUCUUUGUCUUGGAUCCUAGUUUAACUAUCACCUAUCGGUCUCAACUUAAUUAGAUAAGGAUUGAUAGACUUAAAUCAUUGUUGUGAUCUUCUUUUAUAAAUCUUUACCCCUCUCUAGAGUUAGUAUUAAAUACUGGUGGGCUCUUAAUGUUUUCAAUCAUUAAGAAUGCAAUCAAAGCGAAGAAAAUCACAGCAUAUGAAACAAUAAUAAUCUAGAAGGAUCUCCCACUUCCCCUACUUCGUUAUCCCGCUGGGGUUCCCACAACACUAGCUAAAGGAAUUAUUUGUGUAUAGGUGCAAAACAAUCCGCUGAAUUCAAUAUAGAAAGCAUAGAAUCAAUCUCACAAUAAUAGAUGAAGAAAACCCAAAAUCUCAGAUCAAUUAAUCAACCAAAACCAAUAACACAGGAAUCCAAAGAUCAAAAGUCAAUAUUGGAAUCAAAAUAUAUUUGUGAAUAGUAUAAGUUUGUAAACAAACUAAAAAACAUAAAUGGGUAUUUAUAAAUUACAUAGAAACCCUGGGAAUCCUUUUCAAAUCAAAAAGGGAAAACUGAGUCAACAGCUGCCUAUGGUGCCACUUACGGGUUGUAGUAGCCCCACGUAGGUGAUAGUUAUCUUAACAAUCCUGUAAAGCUAUGAACAUCACUUAUUCUAAUGCCUACAGGGCAUAGGUACUGGCUAUGAACCGUAGGUAGUCCCCAUGUAAGUGACAGUAAAAAUUCAUCAUCUGUAGAUUAUCUGAACGCAAAUAUUUUCAAUAUAUGUUCUGACACCUACGCCACAUAGGUGCCACCGUAGGUGGUCCCAAAUCUAGCUGUCAACUUCUUUUCUUCUUUUUAGCUCCCAAAACCUAGUUUCCAGAAAAAUAAGACAGAAAUCACAUCGUAUCUUUGAAAAUAAGCCAAAGUACUUACAUAUUUCUUGAUUUAAGAUUGAAAGUCCUAUGAAACUAUGUCACAUAAACACCCUCAACUUUGAUGUUUGCAUGUCCUCGGGAGAUUGAACAUAGUAAAACAACACAAUGAUGCAUAACUAAGAGAAACCUAAGACAACUACAACAGUCAUUUUCAAUUUAAGCUAAAGAACAUCACCCCCUCUAAUUUUAACACUUCAAGACCAAAUGUGUGGAUCUAUGUAGAACGACAAUGUGACACAAGGGAAUCAAGUUAUGUCAUUACAUUAGCAAAAAACAAUCAUGCAUAUGUAGAAGUUACAUUACCUGAACAAAUAAGCAAUUAGAAACAUAACCAAUGUACUCUCAUACCAAAGAAGUCCUUCUCAGUCAAAUAAUCAUGCAUGUUAAUGCUAGGAUGAUCACAAGACACUCACACUCAAAAACAAAAUCCAACAAUCUGCACAGAAUACCAUAGUCUUGCCCUUAUUUUCUUUACCUUAGUUUUGAGAUAGUUAGGCUAGGGUCACUAUAGGACUUUACUCGUCUUGUAACAUAGGCUUGGGGGUGGUAUGGUACAUUUCUGAAUUUAGUGGCUAUGCCUUAUUUGCAUUAAAAGUACAUUAGGUCUCCACUUAUCAACGAACUUUUCUUUUAGUCCGCCCUUAUUUCUCCAUUUUUAUUCUUUUAUUGCUUAUUUAGAUUGGGUUUUGUUUCUUGUAUUCUUUCUUUUUCAUUUUUUCUUAUCUUUUUUCUUUUUCACAAUCACACUAGCCCUGCUUUAUUUUCUCCUAUUUACAUACUUCUUCGUACCCACUUCUAAUCACGCACCUUUAUGAUAGCCACCUUCAACUUGGAUGAUUUUCCCGAGUUAAGAUGCACAAUGUCCAAAGAGGGUCAGGGCCAAAAUAGGUUCAUUGUAACUAAAAUGGGAAGUUGAAAGGUGAAACAAUAAAAAUAGUCUAUUGGUCUUAAAUUGGGAUCAAGAGAUACCUAUUCACAUUUGGAAGGCCGUUUAGGCUAAAAGUGGACUAAUUUAAAGAGUAACCUAUGAUCCUUUCCUAACUGACUAUCCUACCACCUUGGAAACACUAAGUAGGCAAGUUUUGGAUUCAACAAACAAUGGGAACAAAGUAAGAAUCUCUCACAUAUAUGGCACAGGGUUCAAUCAUAAACUACCACCUAUUUGGUUCAUACAAAUGUUAGAUAUGAUUAUUAUGUCCCUAAUACUAAUUCCAUAAUGAUAUUCAUAAUGGUCACAUAUAUAUAUACAUCACAUAGUUCAAAAAUAAAUUUUUCGGAGUGGCGUCAUUUUUACCAAAAACACUUUAAGCACAAACAAACAAAACACAUGAACUAUCUUAGGUACUCAUUUUUCACUUAGUUAAACAAAACCAACCCAAUACGAAACAAAACACAAUACGACACAAUAUUUCCUAGACAUGUCGUCUCUACUAAGAACAAACUUAGAGAAAAAGAGAUACAACAACAAAAACCCCAAGAGGACAUCUAGACCCACAAGCAGCCCCACCCUUAUCAAAUAGACGUGAAUUGUCCCUAAUGCAUUAGGUCGCUACAAAAUAAGAUAGUUAGGAACAUACAUAUGGCACUAACAUGUGGAGAUCCGACAUCAAUCAUACUAACACAAAUUAAUACAAGUGCAAAAAUAACAAUACAGAUUUGGUGCCUCCCAAGCAGUGCCUGAUUUACCAUCGCAACAUGAUUCAGUUUUCUUGGCUACUCAGACUUCACCAAGGCUUACCUUGACAACUACCUUUACCACAUCAAGAUUACCCAAAUAGUGAUUUACAUGCUACUUAUUCACCUUCAACGGGGCUUCGGCAUCUCUUUUAAGCUCUACAGCACCAUGAGGGAAUACCAAAACCACGGUCAAUGGUCUAGACCAUCUAUAUUUCAACUUGCUGAGGAACAAGGAAAGUUUCGAAUUAUAUAACAAGACCAAAUCACUAGGAUCAAACACUUUUUUCUCGAUAGUCUUAUCAUGAUACAACAUUUUUUAUUUGUAUAGAGCAGAACUCUCAUAAGCACAAAACCAAAAUUCAUCCAACUUAUUCACCUUACUCUAUCUCAACUUAGUUGCAUCAUUCCACUCCAAAUUGAUCUUUUUUAAUGCCUAUAGUGACUUGUUCUUAAGUUUGACCGACAAAUGGCAUGCUUUUCAUACACAAGCUGAUAUGGAGAGGUACCUAUGGGAGUAUUAAAAUCUAUUUGUUAGGGCCAUAAAACAUCAUCAAAUCCUAUUGACUAGUCAGUCCUAUUGACAUUCACAUUCUUCGCCAAUAUGGACUUGAUCUCUCUAUUGGAGACCUCAACUAGCCCACUUAUCUGAGGAUAGUAAGGUGUUGCCACCUUAUGCUUUACACCAUAUAUUUUUAGUAAGGCCUUUAAAAUAUGAUUGCAAAAAUGAGACCUACCAUCACUAAUAAUAGCAUGAGGAGUGCCAAAUAGAAAAAAAUAUGUUCUUUUUCAAGAACAAAGUGACACUUCAUCUCUCAUUGUUAGGAAGCACAACUGCCUCCACCCAUUUUGAAACAUAAUUGACUUUAACUAAAAUGUACUUCAUCUAAUAGGAGCUCACAAAUAGACCCAUGAAUUCAAUACCCCAUACAUCAAAAAACUCAAACUCAAAGAUAGAUGUCAUAUGGAGUUUAUGUUUCUAUGAGAUAUUGCCUUGUCGCUGACACUGGUCACAAUCUUGGGAAUAUUCAUCAGCAUCCUUGUAGAUAGUUGGCCAAUACUUCCCACAUUAUAGAAUCUUGUGGGCUAUGUAGGUGCCACCAUGAUGACCCUCAGGUGCUGAAUGACAAGCCUUAAGGAUUCUCAUCAUCUCUGCUUUAAGAAUACAUCUACGAAUAAAACCAUCCACAUAAAUCCAAAAGAGAGAAGGCUCAUCCUACAAAAAAUUUCUCGCAUCAUAAAUGAACCAUUUUCUCUACUAGAAUGACAAAUCUUUUGGAAUGAUAUCACUUGCCAAAAAGUUGGCAAAAUCAGUGAACCACGGGAUUAAGUCUAAAGAUGCUGCCAAGACCCAUUCAUAUGGAAAAGUAUCAUCUAUGUCAAGCCCAUUCCCUAAAUUUUGAAUUGCCUCCUCCUCAAGGCACGAUGAGUGAUUAUCAAAUUAGUUUUUAAUGCCCUUUUGAUCCUUCGCCUCAAAGUCAAAUUCUUACAACAAGAGCACCCAAUGUAACAACAUCGGUUUGGCAUCCUUAUUUUAUAUUAGAUAUCUCAGCAUUACGUGAUAUGUGUAAACUAUGACUUUAGUCCCUAUCAAAUAGGAUCAAAAUUUCUCAAAGGAAAAAACAAUUGCACACAACUUUUGCUCAGUAAAUGUAUAGUUCUUCUAUUUGGGGUCUAAUGCCUUACUGGCAUAACUGAUCGGAUGAAAGAUAUUCUCUCAUUUUUGUCCUAGGAAAGCACCCAAGGCCACUUCACUCAUAUCACACAUAACCUCAAAUGGUGAAGAACAAUCUAGAAACACAAUAAUAGGAGCUGAGAUCAGCCAUUCCUUAAGGUAAUCAAAGUCAUUGAGACACGUAUCAUCUAAAACAAAUUUCACUUUUUGGUCUAAAAGCUUACAUAGAGUAUUAGAAAUAUUAUAGAAGUACUUGAUGAACCUUCUAUAAAAUCCAGCAAGACACAAAAAUCUUUGGAUACCUUUAACUGAGAUCAGAGGCAAUUUUUUAGUCACCUCAAUCUUCACUUUAUAUGCCUCAAUACCUUGCUUUGAGAUGUUCUGAUCGAGAAUAAUACCUUAUUUUACCAUAAAAUGUCACUUCUCCUCAUUUAGCACCAGGUUUCACUCCUCAUAUCUUUGGAGUGAAUUGGCAAAAUGGUAUAAAAAUUGAUCAAAAAAAUCCCUAGCUAUAAUAAAUUUAUCCAUGAAUACCUCUAUAGUGGAUUCCACCAUGUCAAAAAAUAUAGACAUCAUAUGUCUCUAAAAGGUGGAGGGAUCAUUGCAUAAUCCAAAUGACAUCCUCUUACAUCAAGAAGUCCUAUAAGAGUAAGUGAAGGUCAUCUUUUCCUAGUCCUCAAAAGUGAUAAAAAUUGGAUUGUAUCCCUAGUACCUAUCUAGAAAAUAAUUUCAACCCUUGCCUGCUAGUCGAUCAAGCAUCUAAUCCAUAAAAGCAUAGGGAAAUGGUUCUUUUGAGUCUAAGUAUUCAGCUUCUUGUAAUCUAUGGUACUCUUUAUCCAGUAACAAAUCUCAUUGUUGCUAAUUCAUUCUUCUUAUAAGGGACCACAGUGAUCCCACCCUUCUUCAAUAUGCAUUGAAAUGGGUUGACCCACUUGUUAUCCGCAAUGGGGUAAACCACUUUAGUAUCAAAUGACUUGAUGAUUUCUUUCUUUAUCACCUCCUUUAUAGGAAGAUUCAACCAUCAUUGAUGCUUAAUUCUGUGUACACAAUCUGACUUCAGUUGUAUCUUAUGAGUGCAAAUACCCAUUAAAAUCUUUAUAAUGUCUACAAUAGUCCAUCCUAUGGUCUUUUUGAACCUCUAUAAUACUGAGAUCAAUGCUUUAACCUUCGUAUCCAAUAAGUCAGUAGCAAUAAUAACCGAUAAGGUAUUAUUAGCUCCCAAAAAUGCAUAGCGCAAGUGAGAUGGGAUGGCCUUAAUUCAAAGAUCGGUGGCUCCUCAAUAGAUGGUAGAGCCAGGGGAUUGGUUAUAUUAUUUAGAUCAAGAUCCAGCUUCUUUAAAGUAUAAUUAUAAGAACCAUUACCAUACAACUCACUCAACUUCUCAUCAUACUCAUCAGUGCCAUUGCUGUCCAAAUUCAUAAUCAUUGCUGCUAAUACCUCAACCCUAAGUCUCUCUUCAAUGGGCAUAGUCUCUACAUUAAUAUUAAUAGUAUCUAUCAUAAAAACUACUCUCAUAACCUUUGUUUUCCAUAUAUACUAACACACGUUAAAGGUCACUUGCUCAUUAUUGAGUCUAAACAUCAUCUGCUCUAUCUCAAUAUCAACAAAAGACCUAUCUAUAUCUAGGAAAGGCCAUCCCAAGAUAAUAAGAACUUCAAAGUCCACCUCAUAAUGAAGUAUCAUGAAAUCAACUGGGAAUAUGGGGGAUUCCACCCAUACCAAAACAUCACAUAGAAUUCCAACUGAUUUGUUUAUAGUCUGAUCAGACAUUAAUAACCUUAUAGAUGUAAGUUUGGGUGCCCUCAACACCAAAUAUUUGUAUACUACCAACGUCAUUAGAUUUAUAAUAGCUUCCAAGUCAUAUAAAUCUCAAUAGAAGUUAAAGUACCCAAGGUAUAUCAAAUUAUAAAUGCUUUGAGGUCAUCCUUCUUCUCAACUAAUGAUCAAAAAGUGAUGACACUGUAAUCAUGAACAUUAUCAGCUAGCUCAGAAUUCACCAUCCCCUUACUAGUAACCAUAUACUUCAUGAACUUAGUGUAACUAUGAAUAUGCACUAAUGCUUCUACAAGAUAAAUAUUAACUGAUAGUUCUUUCAACAUUGAUAAGAACUUAUGACGCUUCUCUUCCUAUUAUUUACUCCUCACUAUCGAAGGAAAAAAAAGAAAGGUCAUGGAAUAGUCUUUAAUACCAAUUGAUCGACCUUUCCCUUACUUUGUCCUUCACAACUCUAUGAUCAACACCUAUUUAUUUGUGUGAUGACUUAGCAUUAGUCACCAAACUCUCUAUCUUUGUUUUAGGUGUCUCAUCGAUAUAAACAUUUUCAUUCCUUGGCUCAUUAUCCAUAAGCAUAAAGAGGUCAAUAGUGUCCUUAAUACUUGGAGAGGUGAUGGCCAGACAAUGACCGUCAUUCUUAGGAUUUUGUAUUGUAUUGCUUGGAAUGGUGCCCGACUACCACUGAUUAAAGGUUACUAAUAUCUAUCUAAAUUACUGCUUUCUUGAUCAUAGGAGCAUGUGAUUCUACCUUUCGGGUAAACCCAAAUCUUCUUAAGGGAAUUUCUUAACUUUCUUGACCCUUUACUGGCUUUGACACCAUAGCCUCCAUCCUUUAAUCACUAUCAUGGUUGCCUGGUGGAAUAUAUAUACCAUUUUUCUCUUUAUAAUCAUCCUUAUGUCUACUAUCAUCAUCUCCCUCUCUACUCUAAUAUCUAUACCUCUCGCUAUAGUACUUCUGACCUUAGUUUCCUUGCCUGGAAUACCAAUUGUCUUGAGAAGACAAUUGGACUUUGGCUUAAAAACCCAUCAACGAUCUAUCUAGAUAUUUAUCCUCUUCAUCCACAUAUAAAUCAUAUGAUCUUAAAGCCUUCCUUAUGUGCCCACUGCAUUAGACUUCUUAGAAUUCAUCAUCGUAAACUUCUUUGUUAGUAAUCCAACCUCCGUCCUUACUUGAGAAACCUUUUGUUCCACUAUGCCAUCUAUAAGUCUGUGCUCAUUGUAAUCCCUAAUAAAAUAAUUUCUAUUACUUUUCUCUGCCUCCCACGAAUUCCAUCCUCAAUUUGUGAGGGAGAUCUAAUCUAAUAUCUCUAAUGCUAUGUAAUACCCUAAAUUAUUAAUAUUUGCAUCACCAAGAGGUAGACUAUUUAAUUAGCUUUCCAAUGCCACAAAUCUCACCUUAAUAUGAUAUAUUAGUAAAAUAUUGUGGCAAAUUGAUAAAGGAACUGUCAAACUACUAGUGACAAUGACUCGUUGUUAGACACAAUGAGUCGUAGUGAAGACUCGUCAUCACAACAGUAAGAAACCAAGAAAUUAUCCCCUUGACAAUAACCCUUCAUGAUGACUCAUGGUCAGGCCAAAUGAAUCGUUCGGAAGGGCUCAUUGUGAUAAUAGAUAGGACCCAAGGCUUAGUUCCUCAGGUCAUGACUCCAGACCAUGACUUAUGACCAAAACCUAUGAGUCGUAGCCUAAGUCAGCGUGACUAUUUCCUAAAAAAUGCAGAAUGAUUUUCAAAGGGGCUUUUUGGUCUUUCACUAUUCUUUAACCCCCAAUGAUACGCCACUUAGGAUUUCCUAAGGAUGGAAUAUAAGGGAACAAUACCCCAAAUUCCUCAUUAUGUCAUAAAUGCAAUUCAUACCAAGAAAAGAGGCAAUUACUCUUCUCCAAAAGCCAAAUUAGGGUUCCUCAACUCCAAGCACAAAUUCUAAGGAGUUCUUUAAGAAGUCCAUCUCCAGUUAUGUGGGAUUUAAUUAAUGGGUUCCUUUCACCGAUUAAGUCCCAAAGAUUUCCUCCACUCUUAAGUUUAGUUCACUCUUCAUGUUUAGAAUUCCAUGACAAAUAUAAGUUUCUAAAUUUCUUCAGUUUACUCUUGUAACUACCCAUAAGAGUAGCAUCUUCCUGCACUCAUAACCAUAAAUUCCCUUUAUAUUGAUAAAUUAUUGAGUUUUGGGCUUGAAUUAUGAAAAAUCACAUGAUAUUUAGUUUACUAUUGUUAUGUUUAGAGCUAGUGCUCGAAAUUCAUGCAUAUAUCAACUUACAUUUUCAUGAGAACUUUAUUUUAUCCAUUGUUGAUAUUCUAAUAAUGUAAUUAUAUUAAGCAUAUACCAAUUAUUACUGUCAUUCAGUUAGAAGAAGUACUUAGCACCGAGUAAAUGCUCGGAUGAAAGCUCACCAAUCAGUUAGGCCGAAGACCUUUAGUAUAAGUCCCUAAGUUCCAAACCAUGAAACCACCGUAUGUUAUAAGGGGCUACCCACCAAUUGAGGAAUGACACCCUAGUCCUUUGAGACAUCAGUUUAGUUGAUCCACAUCAGCCAAUGUUAAUACCCUUGGCAAGGUACUGAACACCCAUCUAACUGGGGUUAUAGGUUGGACCCUGGUCAGGUUAGACUGAAGAAGAUAUAAAAAUAAUAACAAAGGAAGAAUAUUUAAAUGACGAAGGAACAGAACAAAAAAUAAUAUUUGACAGUAACAUAUUUGAUGAAAUAAAAGGAAAAGAAUUAGAUUUAAGUGUAGAGAAAAUAUUUAAAAUACCAACAAUAAAAAAUAUUUUUACUAGGAAAAAGGAUGAAUAUUAUAUAGUAUGCCAAAAAGAACAUGUAAUAGACUGCAGAUAUGCAAAAGGAAAAGCUAGUAUACCACUAGUAACAAAAAGAAUAAUUAAUAAAGAGAUAAAUGAAAUAAAAAGUAAAGGAGAUCCAAUAAAAUAUGUACACCUUGGAGGUACAGAGAUAUUAAUAAAAGCAUGUUUUAGAGAAGGAGUAGAUACACAAUAGAAUUAUAUUUAGCAGAUGAUAGAAUUAUAAAACCUAUAGAAAAAAGCAUAAUAACUGCCGUAAAAGGAAAUCUAAUAUAUCAAAAAUUUAAAUUUAUAAUAAGUGCAAAUUAUUCAGUAGCAGUAACAGAUAGAAAUAUAGAUAAAUCAUUAGUAUUAUAUUGGAAAAUAUCAGGAAUAGAAUUAACCCCAGGAAGUAAAAUAUUUACAGCAAGAUGUAAAAAUCUAUAUGUAUUAACAACAAAACAUAAAAUAACAGGAAAAAAUAAGAUUAACAAAAUACAAAUAGAAAGCCCAUUCGAACAAAUAGUAAAAACAAUAGAUUAUAAUGAUUAUACCUAUAGAGACAUAGAUACAGAAGAAAAUUUAGAAAUAGUAAAUGAUAGAAUAAGUACAACGAAAAGAAUAGCUAAUGAAAAACCAGAAUCAUCAAGCUCAUCAAAAAGAACAAGUUAUGAAACAAAUUCAAUAAGUAAUUUAAACCAAUAUUACAUAACAGGAAAAAUAAAUGAAAAAGAAUAUCUA
rnacentral:lncRNA from 1 species